UCUGCCGCGUCCCCUCUCUCUCCUUGUAAGAUAAAUUGGCCACAACAUCAUUAAGAAUUAGAUUUGGUUACUAGUUUAUUAUUUCCCUACUAGGAUUGUAUUUACUUGGAUGACAAGUAAUUUUUCUCAUCCUUACUACUAUAAAUAAAGGCACGGGAAAUAACAACAUCUCAAUUCUAAUACACACAUAGAAAUCCCUACACUUUCUCCACUCCCUCCUUGUCGUGCUCUCUCUCCCUUGUCAGAUAAAUUGACCACAACAAAUUUAUGACUUUUGACAAGCAUUAUUCAAUUUUUACUUUGUUGAAGAGGUCACAAAAAUGAAAAAAAAAAGGAAGCAUUAUAUUAAUAUUUUUUAUUCCAAGUGAUAUUACCAUGCUUUAUGUAUAAGAAUUAUGCUCAUGAGCUUUUUUUUUUUUUUUUUUUGAACAAAAUACUUCAUGAGUUUGAUACUUAGAGCACCUCCAAAAAGAGGUGUCAAAAAUUUAACAUAAAAUUUAAAUUUGACAGCCUAUGUGGUAUUUUGACAUUUUUUAAAGUUUUACUCUCAACCCGAUAUGUCAAAUUAAAUUAUUAUUUUAUUAUAUUAAAAAAUAAAUGAUUAAACCAAUAAAAAAUUAAUUAAAGAAAUUUAAUACUUACUAAAUCAAGACCGUUCAUCAAAUGAACCAAAGAGGCAUGAAUGCACGGGUCAACACCAGCAUUCAUUAUAAUAAUGAUUAAACAAAUAAAAAAGAUUAAUAAUUAAUUUUGAAGCUAUUAUCAAAUUUGACAACAACCUUUUUACUGCCAAUUCAGAUCAUCGCCACAUAGGAGUUGAUAUUUCGGUUGGAGAAUAUUAGUGUGAUCUUUUUUUUUACUAUUAUAGCAUAUGUGAAUAUCUUGACAUCUUCUUUGGAGAUGCUCUUACAACACUAUUGCUAUACUAAUUUAGUAUAUUAAUAUAACAUUAAAAUAUUAUAUUAGAGAUGCAAAUUUGUUGGAUAAAUAAAUAAAAUGCAAGAAGCCCUUUACCAUAGUGGUGGAAAGAUGUUAAGUCUUUGUAUGAGGAUGUGGGUUCAAAUCUCAUCGAUAGCUAAUCUAACAAAAUUUAUCGUUUGAAAAAAUAAAUAAAUUGUUGCAGUCCUAUUAGAUUAGGAAUGUGAUUGUGUAAAUCCUAACAUAUCUAGGAUAUCCUUAUGGGAUUUUACCAUCUCUUAUACUAUAUAUUAUCCUAUUAGAGUUGUAAUCCUAUUAGGGUAAGAAAUUAACCUUCCCUACUACUAUAAAUAAAGGCACAAUGGGGUGGAAUAGAGCACAUAUUACAAUUACACAUCUCUCUCUUCUCUCUCUAUGCCGCACCCCUUCUCUCUUUCUGAUCUCCAUAAUUGUUUAGUAAAUUAUGCCUACAACACGCUAUUAACAUGUUGUGCUAAAGAGAGUUUGAUUUUCAAUCAGGGAGUAUUACGUUUUAAUCAUUAUUUUUAUGAUUAUUUAUUAUUUUAUUAAAUUGAUCUACAUGCUAUUGAUUCAAUUUAAAUUUUCUAUGUUGAACAUGAUACAACACAUUAGAGAUGCAGUUCCAACUUUUAGAGAAGGAUCUUCUACAAAUUCACAAAUUCAAAAGCUCAGUUGUUUUUUGCCAAUCAAGUUUUUUUAAAAUAAAUUAAGAUAUUUGAAACGACCGUGAAGCAUGAAAACAUUUCCCAUGAUGCAUAAACUCUCUACAUUUAUAUUUUCCUUCCGAUCUAUAUAUUGUAUAUGUUCAUAUAUUUGUCAAUAUAUAUAUACACACACACACACGUUCAUGCAUUACACAAUUAUAAAAUUGCUAUGAGGAAUUUGUGAGUCAAAGAAAGAAAGAAAAUAGAAGCAUGAUUUUUUUAAUUAUUUUUGGGUUCUGAAAACCCUAAUACUAAAAAUCUGGAAAAAAAAAAGAAAAAAAAAAGAAAAGAAAAGGGAAAACUUGGUUGAGUCGCGACUUGCAGUCGCGAUGCCAAGCCGAGUCGGUUGCUAGAGCCACGCACUCGCGCCGAGUUGCAAAACCGAGCCGCGCCAAGUAGCCAAGCUGUGAGCAACUACCCAACCCAACCCGAGGUCACAAAAAACGACGGCGUUCUCCCGUCGUCCCCUCAAUCGAACUAGACCGCCACCAUUGACAACUUGAAGUCGUAUUGUUUGGUGAGAACCAUCGUCCUUGACGACAACCUAGGUUAUCCCAGUCAAGAAUCUUAUCAGAAUUCUUGAGAUUCCAUAUGAAUCUCUGAGUUAUUGACCUCCUUGAUGUUGAGAAUUGUUCUCCGUCGAGAUUUUUUAGGAUUCUAGACGAACUCUGGCUUAUCUUCCAGUUUGAAACCACGAUGAUUAUGGUGGCGUCGUCGAGCUUCUCCGGCAACUCCCACACCCAGCUUCGAUGGGCCUUUUCUAAUGACACCCAAGCCCUUUUUCCGGGCUUGCUGCUCAUUUGGCCCAAAGCCCAACUGGGCUUAUUUUUCUCUUUUUCUUUGGCCCACUUACCUGCAGCUGGGCUGCUCAUUUUCUUGGCCCAUGACACUGCAGCAUGCUACUUGUUUUUGCAGGUUAGCUUGCAGCUGUUGGGCUUUGCAAAUUGGACAGCAGCCAGUAAUCCAAUGCUAGGCUGCUUUUUGUUCUCGAUGUAAAGCCAUAUUUGGCUUGAUUUUUUUAUUCCAGCUUGCACCCAUAUGUUUUUUUAUGCUUGAUUUCAUGGCCUUAACCACUUUUUUGGGCUUUUCUUUUGAAUGGCCCACAAAUCUAGCCCAAAAUAUGGCCUGAAACUUUAUAUUAUUUUGCUUCUACGAUCAACCCCAAAUGAUCUAGAUCUAUUGAAUUAAUUAAAAGUGACCAGCAGUCCAUUAAUCAGAUGUGACAUCCAAAAUUAUUGGCCUAGAGCCCACUUUUGGACAUUAACGAUUCAAUAUUUUAUUUCUUUUCUUUGAACCGCUGACUCCCUUUCGUAGUCCUGAAGCACUCACACUUGAGUUCCUGAAGCAACCCAAAUUCAUUACACUUAGUUGUAUAUUGUAUUAUGUGUUCUUACAAGUACCUUCUUAUGAACCAGAAGAUUCAUAACUAAACUCGAACCUGUAGUUUCGAAUUUAGUGCCUUGGAAACCCGAAGCUUUCAUAAAACACUACACCCAUGAAAACCCAACGUUUUUCAUGUACACCAUGUCUUAGAACUUGAAAUGUUCUAACUUUGAUGCUUAUGGAUAUCUUACUUCCAUAGUACCUAUCACAAUAUUGUUCCCUCAAUUUAGUGGAUUGUCGAACCGUAACAAGUUUGAUUUCACUUAUUUGGAUAUUUCUUAACAAAACCACUUUAUGUGAAUACAAGAAGUGAAUCUCCACUUGAGUAUCAAGAAGCUGAGAAACCAUUGUAGCCAACAAUGGCAUGGAAAAGCUGAAUAAGCCUUCGCCAUGCUCUUCAUUCGAAGACUUAUGCUAAAGCAUUACAAACAGAAGUACCUCACGAACGAGGAUUCCAUGGCUCUUUGGCUCGCUACUAUGGACCGUCUGAUCAUGUGAGAUAUUGCCUGAAGCACACCAUGAUUACGUCCAUCAAAUUUUGACUAGAGAAUACUUUUCUCGUGUUUUCUUGUUUCUAACUCGCUCCUGAGGCAGCAGUGUAGAAAAUGGAAGUUUACCAAAUUCUAUGAUUUGAUUACUACCACAAACGUGAGAGAAAGGUAUAGACCCAGCUUCGACUGAAGUAUACCGAAUGGUAUAGACCCAGCUCGGCUUAAGUCUAUCGAAUGGCUCGACCUAGUUUGGUCAAGGCCUACCGAAUGAUGAUUCCCAGUUUCAGUUGGGGCCCAUCGAACAGUAGUGCUCUACUUUGGCAAAGGCCUACUGAACAGACCCCUCCAGCUUUGGCCGAAGCCUAUUGAACCCAAGUUAGGGUUUGUCUCUUUCACAAUCCAAUUUUGAGUUUGUUUUUACGGUAGAAUCAGGGUCUGCUAAGGUAUGGCAUCAUGCCCGAAGCGUGAUACUUGGCACCUAAGACCUAAAACUUCAAGAAUAAAGGAUAAUAUUCCCAAACCUCAACCCUGCAGAAUCUACUUCCAUCUUGAUGGAAUAGAUCAUUUGUUUUGCAUCUGUUCGUGCCUCUACCAAUGUCGUUGAGGAGUACCAUUCUCGUAGUCAAUAUGUGAAACUAAUUUUGCUCCACCGAACGUCGUUGGAAGAGCAUAAUUUUGACAUAGACGUGGCCGAAUCCCCUUAGUAAACCAUUUACUUUGUGAACAUUUUUCCAUGUUCUUGGAUUCAAGUUUGGUGUUUGUUUUAAUUAUGGAUAAUAUUAUCGAUAUUGUCCUCGAAUAUGAGUUAAUUGAAUCAUGUUUCUUGUAUACAUGUGACCAAAUUCAAUUAAACAUGUGAUUAGGUACAAAUGUGGGAAAGUUAGUUGUCUUGAUAAAUGUGAUACUACCCACACUAACUUUACACCAAACUCACAUCUCUAGCAACGACUUCAAGUUUAUCCAACCUGAUUAAGAGCAUCGGCACGCUCCUCGUUGUAUGAAUGGUACUAAAUUACCAUUUAAGAUACCUUAAGGAUAUUCGAGAUGACAAUGAUCAUGAACGAAACCAUUGAAGAAAAUAUAGUGGAAUAUCUUUGCACUACCUUAAAAAAUGAACCUGAUGCUCUGAUUUGGGGCCACUAGGCUGUCUCUCAACUAUGAACAUGCCACAUGUGGCCGGCUUGGAGCCAAGUGACUGAGCAGUUUAUUUGCUUUGGUACGACCAUUUGGGACACUUAGGUUGAACAAUGAUGCCACGACUCAUCUUGUUACCCGAAGUAAGGAUCUUGUGCCUACAAGCACACUUUUCCAAGCCUACUCAUUGGGAAAAUUGAUUUUCUAAAUCAUCCCUUGCAAAGAUACGAAAUCACCCUUUUUCACAGUGGAUUCAAGGGAAUAUAUGUGGACUAAUCCAACCAAAAUGUGGACCAUAUAAAUACUUACAUUAUGUUUGGAUGAGGGAAAUAAACUUGGAAUUUGGAUAAAAGUCAGAAUUUAUAAAUUGAUAUCCACUAAUUCUCUUGUUUGUAUUUAUAACAUAGAAAUUUAGAAUUUCCGCGUGGAAAAAAAACUUGGAAUUUGGGGCCUCCAAUUUGCAAGUUUAAAUUCCAUGUAAAUAGGUGUCAUUUCCCAAUUUCUAUGAUUGAGAGUUUAAAAUUAACAAAUUCCGUUUUCAAUUCCAAUGUUCUUUUAAGUUAACCAAACAACAAAAUUCACAAAUUCUAGAAAAUAAAAUCCCUUCAUUUCAAUUUCCGUCAUUUUAAAAUUCUUUAGUAAUCUUAAAUUUCUUCAUCCAAACAUAGUGUUAUGAUUUUGGUUGAUGAAUCGACAAACUGGUCACAUGUUUGUCUACACAUUGCUGCUAAACCUCUUGGCUGAUUUUAAAGGGUUCACCACUCUAAUUAUCCUAUAAAGUCUGGAAGACUGGAUAAUGCCGGAAAGUUUAUAUCGAAGAUGCUUCGAUAAGUAUUGUAUGUCUUUUGGGUUUAUAAUUGAACAUCAAAUUCCCAUGGUCACCCCAAAAUAGCCUCGCAGAUAGAUCAUAAAGCGCAAUUUAAUUGAUUGCUCGGACCUUGGUGAAUGCACCAAGCUUUCGUUUUCUGCUGAGGGCAAUGCAAUCUUGUACGCAGCUAUGAUCUGCCUUGAGGUCCAUUGCCACCCAACCUAUUCAACGUUACAGUUGGUUACUGGGUACAAGCUUAACGUUUCAUACUUAUGCAUUUAGGUGUGCAUUCCAUGUGCCAUGUUGUGCCGCUGCAACGUACCAAUAUGGGUCAUCACAGAAGGUUGUGAAUCUUUGUCGAUUAUGAUUCUCCUUCAUAAUAGCUCUUUUAGAACCUUUGCAAGCGAUCUUUUACCGCUCAUUUAUGGAUUGUCACUUUAAUAAGACAGUCUUCCAGCCGUUAGGGGGAGAUAAGAACGUCAACGUUCCUAUAGAACGACGCGAAUUUACGUGGAUUAGUGACAAUGUAAAACUGAUUGGACAACCGAAAUUACAAUGCAGGUUAAAAUUCCUUACCAAAGUGUGUUUGGACCUAUCGUUCCUACACUGCCCAAGGUAACCCUAUUGUGUUACAAGUGGGAAAGGAAGCGUAAUGAGAUGAAUGAAAUAGUGCGAUGUAAUGCACACCUUAUGGCGUAAGGGUUCUCUCAAACGCCAUGUGAUUGAUUACAGCAUUAUGAAUAUGGUUAAUGUUUCUCCAUGGGGAUAUUGAUACGGAGAUUUACAUGUAAGUUCCUGAAGAAUUACAUGGACUGGUUCAAAUAGUUCUAAACCACGGAACACCAUCUCAACUCGUUUGAGGCAUUCACUUACUGAUUGAAGAAAUCUGGCGGAUGUGGUAUACCCGUCUAAGUGAUUAUUUGAUCAGUUAGGGAUAUGAAUUAUGCCCUUGUGUGUUAAACUAUGAAAUCUUAUUCCGAAUUUCUAGAGUUACAGUUUAUGUUCAUGACAUGCAUCUCACUAAGACUUUAGAAGAGCUUGAGAAAACUGCCUCGCAUCUAAAGACAAAAUUUUAGAUGAAAGAUCUUGGGAAAACUCGUUUAUACCUUGACCUGAGUUUAAAACGUUGUUCUGACGGUAUUUUGGUCUACCAAUAGAACUACACCCCGAAGGUGUUACGAUUGAGAAUACCUAUUAUCUUCCAUACGCUAUAUGCAAAUGAGACCCUUGAAGAGGUUAUGAAACCCGAAAUUCCAUAUAUGAGUUAUGUUUAUACCAUACUUAACCAAUCCCGAAACUACUGAGCACCGGUCAAUGUUAUACCAUCAAGGACCCAAAAGAGUUUCCCUCCAACCAGGAGGCCACAGCGCGACACGUGUCGACAUCAGAAGCCAAUCAUAGCGCAACACAUGUCAACAUCAGAAGCCAAUCACAACACGACACGUGUUAAUGUCAGAAUGAAACUAGAAACUCUCUUCUAUAAAUAUAGAUCAUUCUCUCACAAUAUUUCCUAAUGUCAUUUGUACUAACUCAUUCACUAGUACUCACAAAAGGAGAGCUUGAACCUAUGUACUUGUGUAAACCCUUCACAAUUAAUGAGAACUCCUCUACUCCGUGGACGUAGCCAAUCUGGGUGAACCACGUACAUCUUGUGUUUGCUUCCCAGUCUCUAUCCAUUUACAUACUUAUCCACGCUAGUGACCGGAGCAAUCUAGCGAAGGUUACAAACUUAACACUUUCUGUUGUACCAAAGUCCUCACUGAUUUUAUGCAUCAACAUUUGGCGCCGUUUAUGGGAACGACACUUAUUCCCACUCUCUUCAGCUUUGCCAAGCUGGUUUCCACUAUUCGUACACUUUCUUUUGACCAGGCAUCCCUCUCCAACAUGGGGAGCAAAGGAAGCCAUAGCACACAGAAUGACACCCCUCUUGCACCUAGUGCGAAGCAAUGAAAGAAUGAAGGAAAUAGGGUUGCCUCUUCAAGCUAAAGUCAAUAAGCUAGAAGCUCACAACAACAAGAUAGCAAUGAAGAAUGAGGUCCUCCAGGAGCAGUAUGAGAAGCUCUUUGAGACGCUUCACGAAACUAGGCGUGCUCAAACACGGGAGCUUGUUGCCUCUGUGGACAUCAACCAUCAUCUGGGUGCCCCCCAACACGAAGGGUCACCUCCAUUCGACAUGGGUAUCCCUGAUGAGCAGCGAGCUAAUCAUCAAAACAUUGAUCAACAUGAGACUUCUUUCAACCCAGAUGCUUCAACCUAAAGCAAAAGAAGUGGAGGAAGAUACCUCAUUACAGAAGGGUUGGAAGGAUCAAAAGCCGUUUAUCGUGACUGCUGAGACUUCCUAAAGCAAUGUCGAGAGAAUCCCCUCCACAAAUGCUCGAAUAUCAAUGACCCAAGGGUUUCUGAAAGACUCGGUCCCUUCUCACGACCCAGGCCAUCUGCCAAUCUAGGGAAGGAACGACAGGUCCUAGAGGAACAUGAAGGUACAUGAGACUCUGAGGUAUUCUAACAGACUCGCCCUAGAAGUCAGUACGACGAGUCCAAGAAAAAACCACACGCCCUUGCUCAAACUUUCCUACUUCCAAGAGGUGAUGGAGACUUACGAAAGAAAAUUCCAGUGGUACAUGACUCCACUCAGGACCCCCAUGUCCUACAUCUCCUUGAGGAAGUAAACAAGUUGAAGGCCGAACGUCAGGCCGAGAUACCUGACUGGAACUAACCCAGGCCUGGCCUUCUCACAAGAAGGAUUCUCGACACCCCAUUUCAAUCGAAGACAAAACAAAAGCUUGAUUUACUACUCUAUACUGGAAGGGAGGACCUAAUUGAACACUUUAACCUCUUUGAGUCCACCAUGGUGUAUCGGAUGCAUAUCGAUGAAGAGCAAUGUCUUCUCUUCCCCUCCACCCUCUCUGGCGGAGCUCUAAACUGGUAUUACCGUCUUCCACCUGAGACAGUAGACUCAUUUAAGGAACUAAGGAAACUGUUUGUCUCUCAACAUAUCUUCCAGACCGAUCGCUUGCAUUCUGCAGAUAACUUGUACACUGCCGGACGAGUCACCACGAGAGUAUGCCUGUCACUUCAGCCAUGAGUAUUCUUGCUGCGCUGAGGCAGAUGACAAAACCGCCCUCAAGGCCUUCAUGGCAGGCCUAUGUGAUUGUUUCUUCAAGUACAUGAUCAAUGUCAACACUUGGAAGACUGACUCUGAGGUGAUGGCACAUGCUUACAACCACACCUCCGCCGAAGCAAGGACAUACUAAGAGAACCCCCAUAUGGUUAACCCCUAUCAACAAGUGGGAAAUGGAAAUCAAGUUCUACCAAGUGAGGAGAUAUUAGCCAUUUAGACACCCAUUGCAUCGUUUCAUGCCUUAUUUAGCUACUCGCUAAGCCACCAAACGUAUCUGUCUCUUGGUAAGAGGAAGGAUUUUUACUCUCAGCAAGCCCAUUACAACAAGAGGGAUAAAAGUUCGUAUAAAGACAACCAGGGGUGAACGUACCGUCGACUAUUAUGACUAUGGGGCCAAGCCUCACUCUUUCAAAGUGGGGGACUAGGUACUGAAGGAAAUGCUAUUAUAAGAAGGCAUACACAUUACAAAUGUUUUGACUCUUAACCGCUUGAGAUCUUUUGUCACACAAACCAUUCGGCAAAUAUUUAAAGAAGAGGGAAUUCAGACAACUUCUUCUGAGUCUUUUGCGUUCGUAGCACUGGAACACUUGGUCUACGCUGACCUACCCUUAUACUCAAACUCAGAGCUUCAACAUGCAUACUUUGACACAAAGUAUGUGAUACUAAGUGUUACAACCAACAUGGUUUACAUAUCAAAAGAAUGGAUCCCUUCAUGCAUAGCAAAACAUUCAUAAGCAUCACUCAUAUCAAUCAACAUAAACAUCAUACAUUCUAACACAUUCAUACAUAAACAUCAUACAUUCUAACACAUCUAUACAUAAGCCAACUGUGCUUCGAAAAGGUUCAACAUACUUUGUGUCAUUUAACACUUGCUACAAUGUGCCUAGACACCUUGCCCUUAUUCUCACAAACCAGGUGAUGAAAUGUGAAGAAUGAACUCAUCUUCAUUCCACCAACUAGGUGAUGAAAUGUACAACCCGCACUUUCCUUCAUGCCACCAACCAGGUGAUGAAAUGUACAACCCAUAUUCUAAUAUCAUUUGGCAACUUGCCAUUCAUGCCACCAACCAGGUGAUGAAAUGUAUAACCCACACUCUAAUAUCAUUUGGCAACUUGCCAUUCAUGCCACCAACCAGGUGAUGAAAUAUAUAACCCGUACUUUCCUUCAUGCCACCAACUAGGUGAUGAAAUGUACAACCCGUACUCUAAUAUCAUUUGGCAACUUGCCAUUCAUGCCACCAACCAGGUGAAGAAGGAACUCAUCCUCAUGCCACCAACCAGGUGAUGAAAUGUGAUGAAAGGUGAUGAAGGAACUCACCUUCGUACCACCAACCACGUGAUGAAAGUAACUCACCAUUCAUUCCAUCUACCAGAAGACGAGUGGUACAACUUGUACAUGUGAACUCUUAGCAUUCAAAAAUAAUCAAAAACCCUCAAGCUUGACAACUCAACUAGGUCUUAUUGCAAGAGUUAUAGUCACCAACAAGAGUUAUAGUUACCAACAAAGUUUUAUUGCAAGCCAACAACAACUUCAGUGCAUGGCAUAUGAAGAUCAAGCUAUUCAGCCAUCUUGCAUCUGUUUCAGACAUUUCCCCUCUGUAACAAUGCAAACACUACAACUCGUAGAAAGCUUCACACACUCUUGAUCAAGACAAUGUGAAGCAAAACCAAUUUAUAAUGCCAACAAGAGCUUUAUCAAAGGAGUUCAACCACAAUUCUCAAAAGCUUCAUAGACUCUUGAUCAAGACAGUGUGAAACAAAACCAAUUUAUGGUGCCAACAAAAACUUCAUCAAUGGAGGGCAACUACAAUUCUCAAACCUUCGAAGCAAAUUCAAUUUAUAUGGUUCAUCAAAACCUUCGACUACUACAAGGUGUGGCUUGCAUCACAAUCUCUUACUCAACAGUGUGGAAGCAAAAUUUGUAUAUGUUGUCUCUCCCACAUUUUCAAAUUUCUAGUUUCCCAAAAAAAAAAAACAAAAAAAGGGAAAUUCAACAAAGCUUCAUCAAUGGAGGACAACUACAAAUUCUCAAAAGCUUCACACUAUCUUGAUCAAGAUAGUGUGAAGCAAAAAUCAAUUCGUGGUACCCAACAAAGCUUCACCACAAAAGCUUCACCAACAAAAGCUUUAUUUAUACCAUAUCUAGGGCCUCAUAUUUAGACCUCGUAUAAAUACUCAAGGGACUUAAAUGUAAUUAUGUAAUAAAGGAAGGGGCAAAUAUGUAAUUAGGGGAGGAGCCCUUAUUCUAUAAAAGGGCCUCCUCACCCUCACAAACCCUAAGUCUCUCCUAUCUAGAGCAAAGCUCUCACACUUUCUCCCUUACUUCUAAGAGAAAUAUAAUACAAUCAGUAUGGACGUAGCCCAAACCUUGGGGUGAACUACGAUACAUCUUGUGUUAUUUACAUUUUAUGCAGAUUCACAGUCGGAUUUAUGUUGUUCUAAGACCUCCGGUUUUGUGCAUCAACAUUUGGCGCCGUCUGUGGGAAACGACACGAAAAGCUAUGUCGGUUCUCUCUCAUUUUCUCACCUCCGCCGUGGAUCUGCAAAAUCUGCAAAAAAACCCAAGAAAACCAAACACCACACCAAUAUUCUAAUUUGUCCUCCUCACUGCCAGUGCUUUUCCACUUACUUUCCGAUCCACCUUCUCUUGCUUAGAUUGAACUCCAUCAGACUGUUAUUCGAUUUCCCAACUGAAUCACAAACGCCAAUGAUCUAUAUGAAGAGAGUGAGAGAGUAAGAAAGAGACUAUGUCGUCGCAGAAGCAACGACGGAGCUUCCCGUCGAUCGCGGCCUAUAACGUGGGUGAAACGGCGUCGUACGAGUCGAUCGCCGCCGACCUAGAUAGGACGCUGCUCAUCUCCCGGAGCUCCUUCCCUUACUUUAUGUGGGUGGCUAUCGAAGCCGGAAGCCUCAUCCGCUGCCUUAUCCUCCUUCUUUCCCUCCUGCUAGUCAUCGUCUCUUACUUCUUCUUCUCUGAAGCCGUCGGCAUCCAGAUCCUCAUCUUCAUCUUCUUCUCCGGCCUCAAAUCUCCCUCUUCGGACCCUUAUGGGCUCUCUAACAGUACCACUGAAGUGAAGGUGCUUGCUCAUUGGAUAAGAAGCUACAUGCCUCCUCACUGCUAAAGAAAUUAUACUCUUCUACCUUCACCAAAGGCUGGUAGCUCUUCUAGAACGGAAAGUAAUUCAUCGACGAUGACGACGGUGAGGAGGACAAGGAGCAGUUGAAUUUGAGAGAAGUGGAAGCCGGGGACUUGAUGAGUUAAUGGUUUGGAGGAUGCUAGAUGAAGACAUAGUCAAGUUUGGACUGUUAUCUUCGUUCAAGAUCGCACUCGAGCCACUGUCCGAAGAGCCAUCUUUGAAAUUUGGGAACAAUGAGACGGCUUUUAGUACUCCAUUUGUGUUGUUGAAGCUCUCAAAGUUGAGCCUUUUACACGUUUCUGGAACAGAGGAUCCCUAAAAAAGGUACAAUGCUACAGUGCAAUCCCACACAAUGCAAACUUUCUUCCCAGUCCAAAUCAAACCCCAACAGUCUGCACAUCGAAAACCAAUCCAAAAUUGGGCUCCGAUCUAGAAAUGGAUUCAGAGUUGUCAAACGACCCGGGCGGAAGGGCUAGGCGGAAGAAGGAAACCCUAGGCGUUGACUGCGAUUGGGACCGAGGGCUCAGGCUCCUGACUUUGCACAAUGGCGAGGUCAGCAAUGGUCAUGCAAUCAGGGUUUUCCGGCGGAGCCGCCCCUUGGCGGGCCCGUCCAAGAAGGCCUCCAACGGCAAGAGUUUAGAGGAUCAUGUAAGGGAUUGGGUUAGCACAAGAGUGGAAUUGGGCAUUCCUGAAUCCCGGUGCUCGUUGCCGUUUCUUUACGGCGUAAAGAAAUUGGUUGAAUGUCUUAUUUUCCAUAAAUUUGCCUACCCCAGGGAAGUGGUCUCAUGCUCUGUUCGUGGUUGUCAAGAAGUCUAUCACAGGAAAUAUGUGAAGGAUAGGUUUGGGAUCUUUUUGAAAAAAUUCAAGUGUCAGCAACAUGUGGAAUCAUUCCCUUUUACAGCUGGAGUACACCAGCUUGUGUUGAAACAAAGGAAAAAAGAGGAAGCAUAUAUACCAAAGCUGCUUAUAUCAGUGCAUAUCUUGUCAGCAAGGUUGAAAGAAAUAUUCUCGAGGAUGACCCAAGAAACCCAGCUGUGAUAACUGAUAAUUGCCUGCACACUUCAUCAACCAAUACGGAAGCGUUGUCUGCCAUCUGCCAAAAAGGGAAAAGAGAAAGCAAAAGCAAGGAAUAAACACCCCACCAGAAUGAUGUGAUUUACUUUCCUUGGCAGAUGUAUGAUGUAAUUUAUUUUUCUUACAUUUCGAAGACAUCUGCAAAAACCCCAUCAGAGGGUAAUUAAAAAAAAAACGGGAAAGCCCAAAAUAAAUGGGCUGGAAUGUUAUGUAGAAGGUGAAGGCCCAUAAGCCCAAAAUAGCUCUAACCAGGCGAUCAAAAGUACGCCCAGUACUCCACAAUUAUUCGGCAACCUACCGCUAUUACCACCAACCAGGUAAUCAAAAGUACACCCAGUACUCCAAAAUUAUUAGGCAACCCGCCGCUAUUACCACCAACCAGGUGAUGAAAUGUAUAACCCGUACUCUAAUAUCAUUUGGCAACUAGCCAUUCAUGCCACCAACCAGAUGAUGAAAGGUACAACCCGUACUCUCCUUCAUGCCAUCAACCAAGUGAUCAAAAGUACGCCCAGUACUCCAAAUUAUACAUGAGCACUACUCAUGUCAUUCAUACAUAAACAUUCAUGAGCAUCACUUAUGACAAUCAUACAUAAACAUUCAUGACCAUCAUUCAUGUCAAUAUUCAUGAGCAUCACUCAUGUUAACAUUCAUGAGCAUCACUCAUGACAACAUCCAUGAGCAUCACUCAUGUCAAUCAAACAUUCAUGAGCAUCACUCAUGUCAAUCAGCUUCAAAAGCUUCAUUUACAAAAGUUCUAGCUUCAAAAGCUUCAUUUACAGAGCUAUAUCUUUAAAAGCUUCAUUUACAAAAGCCCUAGCUUCAAAAGAUUCAUUUACAGAGCUCCAGCUUCAAAGCUUCACUUACAAAGCUUCAGUGCAGGGUAUACAAAUACAGCAUCCGAACAACCGCCACUUCGGCCUAUACAUGGAUUCAAUUUGAAGUCUCCAGCUAACAGACUCUAUUGAUCGAAGACUUGGGGGACUACAUUAUGUACCAUAUAUUGAGCCUGUACCAUAUAUUGGGCCUCAACUGGGCCUCAUGAAAAAUACUUGAGGGACUUAGCCCAUUAUUUAUGUAUUAAGGAGCGAGCCCUUAUUCUAUAAAAGGGACUCCCUCACUUUCAUUAGAGAGCACCCAUUAUUCAUGUACUGAGGAGCGAGCCUUUAUUUUAUAAAAGGGACUCCCUCACCAUCAUUAGAGAGCAAUGCCGCCAGCUGAGCAACCACCUCGCUGCGAUCAUCACUCCUAACCCAUCAUUUAUGUAUUGAUAAGCAAGCCUUUAUUCUAUAAAAGGGACUCCCUCACCACCAUUAGAGAGCAUCACCGCCUACUAAGCAACCGCCUCGCCGCGAGCAUCAACUCUAGCCCAUCAUUUAUGUAUUGAGGAACGAGCCCUUAUUCUAUAAAAGGGACUCCCUCACCGUCAUUAGAGAGCAUUAACUCUAGCCCAUCAUUCAUGUAUUGAGGAGCGAGCCCUUAUUUUAUAAAAGGGACUCCCUCACCUUCAAACGCCACAAGCCAAGCUAACCCAGGCAACAUAAGCCACAAGCCGAGCAGUCUCGCAGCGUGUGCUACUUCUAGUUGAGCGUCAUUUCAGAUUGAGCACUGCCUCAUAUCGAGCAUCAGUUCAAGACAACAUCUAGUUACUUCGACCCACUCAUGGACUGAAUUUCAAGUCUCCAGCCAAAAGACUCUCUUGACUGAAGACUUGGGGGACUACUGUUUAUACCAUAUCUAGGGCCUCGUAUUUAGACCUCGUAUAAAUACUCGAGGGACUUACAUGUAAUUAUGGAAUAAAGGAAAGGGCAAAUAUGUAAUUAGGGGAGGAGCCCUUAUUCUAUAAAAGGGCAUCUUCACCCUCACAAACCCUGAGCCUCUCAUAUCUAGAGCAAAGCUCUCACACUCUCUCCCUCACUUCUUAGAGAAAUACAAUACAAUUAGUGUGGACGUAGCCCAAACCUUGGGGUGAACCACGAUACAUCUUGUGUUAUUUACAUUUCAUGCAGAUUCACGGUUGGAUUUACAUUGUUCCAAGACCUCCGGUUUUGUGCAUUAACAAGCUUCAUCAAUGGAGGACAACUACAAAUUCUCAAAAGCUUCACACUAUCUUGAUCAAGAUAGUGUGAAGCAAAAUUAAUUCAUGGUACCCAACAAAAGCUUCAACUCCAAAGCUUCACCUACAAAGCUUCAACUCCAAAGCUUCACCUACAAAAACUUCACCCACAAUAGCUUCACCUACAAAAGCUUCACCCAUAAAAGCUUCACCAACAAAAGCUUCACCCACCACAAAAGCUUCACCCACAAAAACUUCACCUACAAAAGCUUCACCUACAAAGCUUCAACACAAAAGCUUCACCUACAAAAGCUUCACACUAUCUUGAUCAAGAUAGUAUGAAGCAAAAUCAAUUCAUGGUACCCAACAAAGCUUCAACCUCAAAGCUUCACCUACAAAGCUUCACCUAUAAAGCUUAAUAUAUAUAUAUAUAUAUAUAUAUAUAUAUAUAUUCGGAAAUUUGAAGAUUCGAAAAUUCAGAAAUUCCAAAAUUACAAAAUUCAAAAAAAAAAAAAAAAAAUUGCUAGGCCUCAUUUUCUUUGGGCCUAACAACUUUCAUAACAAAUAUAUAUGAAUGAGGAGUUUUAAGCUACCACGUAGAAAGGAAAAUGGUGAAGUUUUGUUACUUUGGAAACUUGGCUACUAGCAAGACACCUCAUUCGUCAACUCCCUCGACCGGAGACUUGGGGACUCUUACCAUAUGCUACUACACCUUGAUACUCAGAAGUCUCACGACCACUCAGUGACUUGGAUUUUUCAAGUCUCCAACCGAGAAGUUUUCCUCACUCAGGAAAUUAAGGGAGCACUACCUCAAUCUACAUGCUCCACUCACAAAGCUUCAACAUACAAGUUUCAACAAAAGGAAAAAUUCAAAGAACUUAGUGAAGAAGGCCUUGGUGUAUUUAACACAAUACGUUGAAAUGAACCAAAACAUGUUUAUUGAUAUCUCCGAUAAGUUAUAAAUAUGUACAUAUACAUGAAUCAAAAUAAACAAACAAGAGGGAGCCUUCACAAAGGUUGCUCAGGAGAAGUCUCAGCAGUCGGCAGAGCCCCAGAAAGAGGAGGCACCAGAGGGUGAUUAUUUGGAGCCUCAGUACUAGGCAGAACCCUAGAAGGAGGAGGCAUCGAAGGUUGAUCAUUUCGAGCUUCAUUACGCGGUACAGCCCUAGAAGGCGAAGGCAAUAAAUGUCUUUGGAACAAACCCACAAACCUCUGAUGAUCAAGUAAAAUCUGACCAUCAGAUUCCUGCAGCUGGUCGAGCUUCCUCUCCAUGUUUGUAGCAUAGUCAUGUGCGAGCCUGUGUAACUGUUUAUUCUUAUGCUUGAGCCUUCUGAUCUCCUGUUUGAGACUUAUCACUUCAGCCACCAAUGAUUCAACUUGGUGGGUUCGAGCAAAUAGGUGUUGAGCCAUAUUAGACAUAUAACCUGCACACUGAACACUGAGAGCCAGAGAAUCCUUAACAGCCAAAUCAUCAGACCGUUUGGAAAGUAGUCUGUUAUCUUUGGGAGUGAGAAGGUUCCUGGCCACCAUCGCAGCGGUUAUAUCAUUCUUCAUCACAGAGUCCCCAACGGUAAGAUGACCAGUAGGGGAUAAUAAGGAUGGGCGCCAUAUAUUGUCUUGAGAAGGCAUGGCUGCCUCUUCACCAAAGUUCAAGUCAAAACGACGGUCGGAUGGGCCAGACAUUCUCAGAAAUGAUGAAGGAGAAAUGAGGUGCAAUAAAUCUCUGAAGUAAGGGGAAAAUUCCUACAAGCAAUAUCUCUUUGAAUGUACUUCUUGCACACAAUUGGUGCCCUUAUAAAAGAAAGGGCAACAGGGCCGUUGGUUCAAAAAUUGAAGAGGCACCACUCUCCGGAUUCCGAAGAGGCACCACUUUUCACACGCAAAAUCAGCUCAUCGGGUACCACAAAUAACUUUGCCAAAGAUCUCUGACAAAGUUUAGACACAUAAAUUUUAAAGGUCCAGCUACCUUACUAUUACCCACAAGGGUAAAGGAAUAGCACCACUGCUUGAUAACUAGAAAGUCCCUAUGUGUGUCAACCUUCGUGCUCCAUGGCAAGGCAGACUAGCAAAAAUGCCCAACCUUUACUCACAUUCGAGAAAACACUCCUAACAAGAUUGCUUGCUCAAAAAUCGAAGAAGCACCGCUCUCCGAAUCUCGAGCGCCAGACUCCCAACAGGAUUACUUGCUCAAAAAUCGAAGAGGCACCGCCCUCCGAAUCUCGAGAGCCAGACUCCCAACAGGAUUACUUGCUCAAAAAUCGAAAAGGCACAUCUCACCGAAUCUCGAGAGCCAGCCUCCCAACAUGAUUAUUUGCUCAAAAAUCGAAGAUGCACCGCUCUCCGAAUCUUAAGAGCCAGACUCCUAAUAAGAUUGCUUUAUCCGAAUCUCGAGAGCCAGAUCCCCAACAUGAUUGCUUGUUCGAAAACCGAAGAGGCACCGCUCUCCGAACUUUGAGAACUAGAUUUCCUUGGAUAAAACUUGUCUGCAAUCUUCACACGCAACAUCAGCUUUCCAGAUACCACAUACCACUUUUUCAAAGUGCUCUGACAAAGUUAAAACACGUGAAUCUUGCAGCUUCCACUACAUUGCUAUGACUGAGAAUGGUAAAGGAACAGCUUUACCACUCCAUGUUGGGAUAAUUCCUAUAUAUGUCGACCUUCAUCCUCCACAGCCAGGCAGACCUGCAAAUAAAAAAAAUGCUCAACUUUUCUUCACAUCCGAAAGGGCACUUUCAGCAGAGUCUCUCAAAAUACUCAGCUUCUUUUCCCCUCGAUAAUACCUCUACAAACAAGCCACACCAGAGAAAGAGUAUCUUAUAUCAUCAGGGUUAAAAGCAAGAGUAUCCCAUAUCAUGCUUUUCCCUGUCUUUUCCUUUGGCCUUGUUCUUACCUGUAAGACAAGGAGAAAGAGAACAAUCAGUCAGCACUUGGAAUCAAGCUUCUAGUCAGGAACUGACUGCUUGGAACCCCUUGCCUGAUUACUUACCUGGCAUUGCUCUCGAGUACUCAUCUUCAACAUCUUAUGCUUCGAGAUAAGAUACCACAUAUGCCUGAGGAACAGAUAGGGUAAGUGAGAAGGAUACAAGGAAGCAUGUGGAGACAAGUGUAACAGAACACGUGCCGAUACAUCCACUACUUUGUCAACAGCAAAAGUAUCCCAUAUCAUCAGGGUCGAACAUACUCUAGAUUUGAUGAACUUGUUUUGACCCUCAAAUUCUUGAGUUGGCCUUAUACUCUAGAGGAAACCAAAAAACCCUCCAGCCCAGUUCAAGAAUAAGCCUGUGGAAAGUUACUUCUUCAAAAGUAAAAGUAUCUCAUAUCAUCUCUUCUCCAUUUGCUUCUCCUUAUCCUUGUUGUUGUUUACGACACAAGGAGAAUGAUAACAAUCAACCGGAAGCCGAAGUCGAACCUUCAAUCCAGGUUGCUUGCUUAGAAGUCUGAUUGCUUACCUUGUCUGUUACCUCAUUCAGCAAAUCUCCUCACUCGGUGACUUGGGGGACUUCUACUAUAGGGUUUGUAUCGCACUUGACCAAGCCCGAAACUACAAGUAAGCUUCAAGUGAAAUUGAUGCAUUACCUUGUGCAUCAUCAUCGGUUCAAGAUACCAUCCAUGGAUGAAGCAAAAGUACUUCCAGAGAAGAUGCCACAUCUACAUAUGAGACAGAUAAGGCAAGUGAAAAUGAUACCACACUUCGGUACUUAGAAGUUUCAUGAUUACUCAAUGGCUUGGAUCUUGCAAGUCCCCAACCAAGGAGCUUCCCUCACUCUGGAACUUAGGGGAGCACUGUUUAUACCAUACUUGACCAAUCCCGAAACUACUGAGCACCAGUCAACGUUAUACCGUCAAGGACCCAGAAGAGUUUCCCUCCAACCAGGAGGCCAAUCACAGCGCGACACGUGUCGACAUCAGAAGCCAAUCAUAGCGUGACAUGUUUCAACAUCAGAAGCCAAUCACAACAUGACACGUGUCAAUGUCAGAAUGAAACUAGAAGCUCUCUUUUAUAAAUAAAGAUCAUUCUCUCACAAUAUUUCCUAAUGUCAUUUGUACUAACUCAUUCACUAGUACUCAUAAAAUGAGAGCUUGAACCUAUGUACUUGUGUAAACCCUUCACAAUUAAUGAGAACUCCUCUACUUCGUGGACGUAGCCAAUCUGGGUGAACCAUGUACAUCUUGUGUUUGCUUCCCUGUCUCUAUCCAUUUACAUACUUAUCCACACUAGUGACCAGAGCAAUCUAGCGAAUGUCACAAACUUAACACUUUCUGUUGUACCAAAGUCCUCAUUGAUUUUGUGCAUCAACAAGUUCAACUUUAUGCUUCAUUGUACUUCGUUCAUUGUAUGAGAAAGGACAUCUCCUUUGAUGUUGAUCUAUUGGUAAAGAUGCAGCACUGGGCCUACACGCAACCACUGAAUUGGUAUUAAAGACGUUUUUCUGCUACCUUGAAAGUAGGAAUGACAAUUUUAACCGUUAAACCCGAUAACCGUGGAUAACCGCCCGAAUGGAUUGGAUUUGGGUAUGAAAAUUCGGGUAUAUUUUGGGUAUGGGUAAAAACCGUGAUUAUUAUUCGGUUAUGGUUUGGAUAUGGUUAUAGGGGUCCCCAAUCCGUAUCCAUCCCUAAAUACGAACCGAAUAAUAUAUAUUGUAUAUAAUAUUAAAGUAUUAAUAAAUAUAUAUUAUUCACCGAAUCCAUUACCUUAAGAAUACAAAAAUUGCAUUGUGUGAGUUGCAUUUUGUGGAAAAGUUCAAAAGUUUUAAUGGUACUUAUGGGAGAUAUCAAUGGUACUUAUGGGAGAUAUCAAAAGAUCAAAUCAAGAUUAUCAAUGUUUAGCUUUAAUUUUUAUGCUUCACAAGAGCCAUUCAUUAAAUCAUUUUAUACAUCAAAUAUUUAAUGACGAAAUUAAUAUUUGCUAAAUUAUCAUACGUCAAUUGAAUGAAUAUAUUUUUUUUUAUUGACAAAGAUGGAUAUAACUGUUAACCGAUGGAGAAUCCGAUACCUGGUGGGUAUGGUUAUGGAUAAUACCCGAUGGUUAAUUUGCGGUUAUGGAUAUGGUUAGUUUUCGUGGUUUUGGGGAUGAAUAUAGCAUUUCCGUCCCCAAGCUGAACCUUUGCCAUCUCUACCUAAAAGGUACCACGGAUUUGGGCUAAUCCUAAUGCAUCUCGAGAGGAUUCGACCCCCUAAUCCUCGGAAUGAUGCUUGCCUUAUUUGUUAUGCUGAUGCUGGUUACUUAUCAAACCCGCGCAAGGCAAAUCCCCGAAUGGUUAUAUCUUUAUUGUUAGGGAUAUCACAAUAUCUUGGAGGUCCACAAUAUGACCUUUGUUGCGAAACCUUUGAAUUGUUCCAAGACUUACCUCACUUCACUAUGCCAUACGUGAGACAUGGUUAGGAGUUAUUGUUGAGUAUAUUCGAAGUACUUGCUGUUUUCAUCCAUCGUUGAGUCCCAACGACGAUACAUGAAGACUAUGUCACAUGUAUCAACCUGACCAAGACACGAUACAUCAACAAAGUCAAUGCCAAGACAUAUUACGUCUACAUCAGCAAAGCAUCAAGAGAUUAAAGUCAUGCAAGCUGAUCCCAGACAACCUUGCUGACCUCUACACGACGUCAUUGCCGAAGUCAACCUUCCAAAAGCUUGUCCGAGGAAUUGGUAUGCCUAACCAUUCAUAUGCAAUGCUUGUAGUUCUCAUUUGCAAGUUCUGUCAAACUCAAAGGAAGUAUCCAGAAGUAUACUCACUUGAUCUUAAUGUACUCUUUUUCCCUACGAUUAGGAGCAUUUUUCCCAUUGGAUUUUUGCUACCUAACUAGGUUUUGACGAGGCACCCAUCCUGGGUUGGUCAUACCCUUGUGAGCUCUUCUACUUGCGUCCAGAAGACGUAUAAUUUUGAAUUAAUGCAAUUUCUCAUUUUUCUCCUUAGUCUAUGAGUUUUCAUCCCAUCUUGGGUUUUACCAUAAUGAGGUUUUGUGAGUUUUACCUUUUAUGUAUUCUUCCAUUGUUUUGAGACUUGCAUCCGCUCAUUGUGCCGACGACUUCAUCAACUGUACUUACUUCAUUGUUGAAGAUCUGAUGUGUCAUUUGUUUGAGUAUUUACACACUCAAGGGGGAGUGUUGCAGUUCUAUUAUAUUAGGAAUGUGAUUAUGUAAAUCCUAACAUAUCUAGGAUAUCUUUAUGGGAUUCAACCAUGUCUCUUAUACUAGAUAUUAUCCUAUUAGAGUUGUAAUCCUAUUAGACCCACUCCAACCAUGGGCUAAAACCUAUAAUUCCCCUCCCCCCUCCAAAAUCCACUCCAACCCAUGACCUAAAAUUAACCUAAAACCUAAAACCCAAAUGAGGGUCAAAUACCAGCCCAACUUUAGUCCACAAAGCAAAGUGGACCCAACAAAAGAGACUGAAACUGGGGCUGUGAAGCCCACUACCCAUGCCCUACUCACCUACGCGCUGCACGUGCUAGGCAACUUCUGCUGCCCAACAAACCCACUUGGGGUUGUUCCCUCGGGUGUUAGACCAUUAAGUAGCCUAACAACUCGAUUUAAAUGGGCCGUUGGUUAUUCCAAUGGUCCAGGUCCAAAUUAUUAUUUUUUUAGUUUUAUAUUUAUGUAUUUAUUGAAUCAAACGGUUUAGAUCGAAUAUAAUCAAAUCUAACGGUAAAAAAAAAAGAUUUAACGGUCCAAAUUUAAAUCCAACGGCUAAAAUAAUUUUAAAAAAUUAUUUAACUUAAAUUCAACCAAAAACUCUAUAAAUACCUAUGUAUUUGUUCAAACAUCCGCACAAAACUCACUUUUCUCCUACAAUUCUUCCAAUUUUUCUUUCUACCAUUUCUUCUCAUUUCCAAAUUUUUUAAGAUGGCAAAAAAGCAUGUUAGAGGUCGUAAUUGGACCUUUAACGAAGAUAUUGCUUUAUGUUUGACAUGGAUUUCUGUUAGCGAAGACGGUGUCAUCGGCACGAAUCAAAAUAGAAAUGUUUUGUGGGGUAAAAUCGUUGAUAAGUUCCAUGAAAACUCCAACGCCAGUCGAAGGGAAGUUGGUGGUAUUUAUGAUUGGUGGAAGAUUAUCAACAAAGCGUGCACUUUAUGGAAGGGAAGAUUGGAGAGAGCCAUGGUUGACAUGCCUAGUCGAAGGGGCGCCUAAAAAAUUAUGAGUUUCUUUGUUGAUAUUUUAGUUGUCAUGUACAUAAUAGUAUUUUGCAACUAAUUGUUUUUAUGUAUUUGUUGCAUAGGGUGACAAAGCAAUGACAAUUUACAAGACAAGAACUACACCAAAAAAUCAAGCUUUUAAGUUGCAUCAUGCUUGGAACAUCCUCAAGGAUUGUCCGAGGUGAGGAACCGAUGCGAACCAACAAUGUGGAAAAUUAUUUCAUAGUGAAGCCCCACCCCUAAAUGAUGUCAAUGAAAGUGUGAAUUUUGCUGACAAUGAAGGUGUCGAACAAAUGACCCCAACUUCUUUUUUUGCAAGGCCCCUGGGUAGAGAUAAGCAAAAAGAAACAAAGAGAAAAGGGAAGUCCCAAGAUCUGAUACGUGCACAAUUUGCUAGCGAAAUUGCAAGAAUGAACGAAAACCAUAUCUCUUGGCAAGAAGAAUCGGCCCAAAUACGUUUGGCCAUGAAAGAAGAAGGGGAUAGGGAGCAAGAAAGGUUCGAAAUUAAUUUGAUGAUGGAGGACCUCGAUAAAUACACUCCAGAGAGGAAAAAAUACUUAAGUGGUAAGCAAAAGGACAUUUUACGAAGGAAUGCCACAAGGAGUAUAUUUCAAGAUGAUGAUUCAUCUCAAGACUAUCACCCCAGUCCAUCACUAAGUCGAGAUGGUGGGUAUCAUUAUUAAGUUUAUGUAGUUUAUGAGUUUUCGAUUGUAUUAAGUUUAUGUGGUUUAUUAAUUGUCUUUUUUUUUUUUUAAGUUUAUGUGGUUUAUUAAUUAUCAUUUGUAUUAAGUUUAUGUGGUUUAUUAAAUGUCGUUUGUAUUAAGUUGAUGUGGUUUAUCAUGAUUUUCAUGUAUUGAUUUAGUGAUUUUUCAAAAUUUAUCAGAAUUUAAAUAUUUUUAGGUUAAAAUGUUCAUAAAAUUAAUUUAGGAUAAUCUACAUUUUUUUUAAAGUUAAUUUAAAAAAAAUCUUUAAUUUAUUUUUUGAUAAUCUCGGGCUAAAAUUUUAGAACAAAAGGGUUAGAGCAGAAAACCUGUUUCUGGGCUAAAACCUAAAUUUUCUGGGCUAAAUAUUUUUAGGUUUUAGGUCUGGAUUGGAGAUGGUCUUAGGGUAAGGAAUUGGCCUUCCCUACUACUAUAAAUAAAAGUACAAUGAGGAUGUAAUAGAACACAGAUCUCUCUUCUCUAUUUAUGCCGCACCCCCUCUAUGUUUCUGAUAUCCAUAAUUAUUCAAUAAAUUAUACCUAUGAUAUAAAUAAAUAAAAUAAACAAUUUGAGUGAUCCCGAAAGAAAAAUAAAAAACCAAAUGGGGCCAAACGUUGCGUGGUAUUUGUUGGUUUAAUAGUAAGAGAACGGGAAGAGAGAAUCCCGAAUGCUUAUAUAUUACAGAUUACCACUUCCCCAUCACACACGGCACUCACACUCCAUACGUUAAUCUAAGCGUAACCAAAAUCAGUCUCGCAGUUCUGCCAAAUGGGUUUGAAGGUAUGCUCUCGAUUUUAUCCCCUUCCCUUAAACAUCGAUUUAAUCUCAUAUUAUCCGUGAAAAUUCAUCCUUUCGCCGUUAAAUUUACUACUUUUCUUGGGUUUUUUGUAGUGCAAUUAGUUCAGAUCUGUAUUCUAAUUUGUUUGUUUUGAAUUUGAUGAAUUUCUAGAUAAAUCAGCCAGAUUUAUAGUUAAUUAUAGUGGGUUCUCUUUAAUUUAUGUAUUUUACUUGUUUUGCAUUCAUUUGGGCUGAGAUUUUGAUCCUGGUAUAGUGGAUCAGAGCUUUCGUAACUAGUGUUUAUCACUGUGGCACCAAUUAGUUUAGAUCCGGUUGUUAUUAACGUGCAGAUCAUCGUCUAAUGACGGUUUUCGGUUCUUUUUGCUACAUUCUGCUUUGCUUGUUUUCUUGAACUGAAUAUGAAAUAAGGCAGUGUCUGUCUGAGAUUUGUGAUAAGCAGGUGCAAAUCUAUUGUCCAAUCUACCAAAUGUUUGCCAGCUGCCCAAAAAAAAAAACUAUUAUCUAUGAAAAAACAUCUUCCGGUCAAUCAUCCGAUCAACUUAGAAUUUUAUGAUUCAUAAUUUCAUAUGCAUUGUAUUGCUUUAGCACUUGUAUAAUUGCCAAAAUCAUCGUAAUGAAGAGGGUGUAUCUCCCAAAAUGUUUAAUGAAUUCAAGUCAGUUUUAGUGUCAAACAAGAUUCUAAAAACGCUAGGCACUAGUCGGGUGACUGGCUGGGGCGGACGAGGUGGAUUUAUGUAAAUCUAUUAUAUUUCUUGUAAAUAAGUAUCAGUUUAUACUUAAAAUAUAAACAAUUUCAUAAUAAACUACAAAAUAGAAUGACAUAUAUAUAAUGAAGUAUUGGAACAUAGUGAAAACAUAGAGAACAAGCAUAUAAUGUGUGUUCGUUUAAGCCUACAACAAGUCUCUUACAAUUUAUUGAAAAAAAUAAAAUGCAAAAUAAAAGUUAUCUAUUUUUAGUCUAAGUGAGUCGCAACCUAGGCAGGUGCCUAGGUGGGUCUGGGCGGGCUAGGCGGUCUAGGCGGGUGCCUCCACAGGUCUAGGCACCAUUUCUUAAUUUUCAAACGCCUAGGCAUUAAUUGGGGCGGUGGCCCUAGCGCCUAGGCGGGGAUUUUUAGAAGAGCAGUGUCAAAUAGGCAGCUUGGACUUGGAAUACUCUGUCUAAAGUUAGCGUGUAAAGAAGCUCUGUAUAUGGUCUUGUUCUUAAGUUAUGCAUGUUUAUUGUUGGAUUGUGAGUUAGUAUUAGUAACACCUUAGUAAGAGUAAGGCGUUUCUCCAUUUAAGCCUGCCCACUCAGAUUUGGCCGGUUAUCUGCUUUCUUUUGCGGUAAUAAUUUGUCACUGCGUGAUAGUAUUUAAUCGUAUGAUCUACUUCCUACUGUAUAAUCAUUAAUCAGUUAUGAGCACUGCGUGAUGGUAUUUAAUCGUCUGAUCUACUUCCUACUGUAUAAUCAGUUAUGAGCGAAUUUCAUUGUUUUGACUAGUAUUGCAUUGACAAUAAAAUUGAACAUGUUUGGUACAUGUGGAAGGCGUAUCUACCUUCUAUUUGAUAAAAAAUCCACUUGCUUUAAUUCUUAGCUUUUACUUGUAUUUCCUCAUUUAUCGAUUGUUUGUGUCAAUUACAGAUGAUGAAAAUUUAUGUACUGUAUAAUAUUUGAUGAUUUGGUGCCCAUGCAGGAGGAGUUUGAUGAACAUGCUGAGAAAGCGAAGACCCUUCCUGAGUCAACAACCAAUGAGAACAAGCUUAUCCUCUAUGGGCUGUACAAGCAAGCCACUGUUGGAGCUGUGAACACUAGUUAGUAUAAUGAUCCCUGAAAAAUACGAGAACGCACUAUUUUGUUCUCUCGUUGCAACACAAAUUUUCCAUUUAUGAGAUUGUCAACCAUCCUCUAAAUUUUCCCUUCGCGUUUGUUUCUUUGUGGCUGACUUGCAGGCCGCCCAGGAAUGUUCAAUAUGAGGGACAGAGCAAAGUGGGAUGCAUGGAAGGCUGUUGAAGGUGAUACUUCUGAGCAUAAUGUUUUAUAUUAUUAUUAUAUGUCAAUCUUCUUCGUAUGCUCUUGCAUAAUUGAUACUUCUGAGCAUAUCGUUUAUUAUUAUCAUAUGUCAAUCUUCUUCGUAUACUCUAGCAUAAUUCUAAGGUAUAAUUUUCGUUCUGGCAGGGAAAUCCAAGGAGGAAGCCAUGGGCGACUACAUUACAAAGGUGAAACAGCUGCUGGAAGAAGCAGGAGCUUCUACUUGAUGUUUUCGUAUGGUGUUAUUUGAUUCAAAAUAAACUUGUACACUUACGUAUUGGUACUCUGUUAUAUCUAAAUGUGUGCGAAUGUAACAUCCAUGGGAUACUUUCGGUAGAAUGGUUGUACUUUUAGUUGUUUAAUUGGAGGGGUUUGCACUGUUAGUGAAUUUGAGUUUGCCAAUUUGCUUUUACCUUGACCAUUAGUAAUGCUUCUAAGUAUGCUUAGUUGUGUAACAGACUAGCUUUUGGACUCGUGAUAUUUUUCCUUCCCAAUUUUGGAAGAGAGAGGUUUUAAUCUGUGCUACGCAUUGAUUAAAUAUACUUUCUCAUCCCAAUUUAGGAAGAGAUAAGUUCGAAUCUUCACUCUGUAUUGAUUAAACAGAAGUUUAGUUUUUUAGAUUGUUUACACUUGAUUACAUAAACCUGCACAUCCAUCAAAAUGUUGGUGAUAAUACAGGAUGAACGCUGCUCAGCUCUUUUCUUGUAACGAGUCAUUCCUUUCCGUUUAUAUUUUUUAUAUAAAUCACAGCUUGAUGUGUAUAAAUUGCACAAAUGAAUUGUUUCGGAUAAGGAGAAAUGAAAGGGUUCAUUUUCCUCAACUUUUUCCAUGGACAUGGACAUGGUAGAAAAAAGUGAAGUUGUAGACCAUGAUUAGUAAUUGCUACGCACCUACCAAUAAGAUUACAGAGUUUGAAAAGGAAGAAGGUGGUUGACUAAUGACUACUCGAUUCCCAAAGAAAAAAAAUAUGAUCGACGGGUCAACAUCUAUCCAACUGAUACAUAACUGGUUCGAAAUUGACGAAACUUGGGAAAGAGUAGUAGCCGGUAAACUAAAUAAUGUUUGGCUACUUCGAGAUGAUUUAGAAUUCCUUCUUCAAACACUUUGUGCCCGAUUCCCAAAAUUGUCUUUAAGAUUCGAACUGGUAGUGUGCAUCAUUUGGCAAAUAGUAUCCUUGUCAAAAAAAUUAAUUUAAACAAAUGUCGAUUAGCCAAUUCUCUCCAAUACAUCAUAAAAGUUGGAAUCCUAUGACUUUGGAGUCAAGCAUAAAAGUUUUGCAUAUUGGUUAUGUAUUGACUCUAAGGCCUCGUUUGGCAGCUCGGACUGUACUGACUAUUUCUGUCGGAUAGGAUAAAUAACCACCGGAUAGUACUGACUAAAUUAGUCGGACGUUUGGUGCAGUAUCGGACAAAUGACCGUAUUAUUUAUACUAUGUUUGGUAAUGAACCAGAUAGGACAAGGGAAAAAAAAAAUUGAUGAAACUUUCUUUGUUUGUUGAACUUUUCUCAUAUUUAUAUCUAUUGAAAACCACACAAAUUUUCAAAUAACAAAGAAAAAUAGUAAAUUCCAUACAUCAAAUUCAAAAUAUUUUCCAAUAACAUAAAAUGGGCUUAUAUCUAUUUAGCCCCAAAACUAAACUAUAUGUCCAUCUAAAUUAUCACUUGGUCAUAACUCUACCUUUUUUUUUCUGGGGCAGGGUGGAAUAAAAACCCAACCAGUUUUUUUUAUCCAAAUAAAAGCUUAAUUAAAGUGGGAAAAGCAAAAUUCAGCAGUCUAACUGUCUAUGUUUAGCAAAACUAGUGAAAUAUCAUAACUUGAUCUGCCAACCAUUUAGCCCAAAUCAAAUUAAACUGAGAUCCCAUAUGAUACCAAGAGAUGCUACCAAUGAAAUUUCCAGAUGAUAGAAAAUCUAGGAAAUUGGGUCAGCCACAAAACCAAAAUGCUCUGUUUGGUUGCUCAGAAAAUAAGCAAAAGAAAGUAGAACAUAGUCAUAAGAAACAAAAACCCAUUUAGCCAAAUGCAAGUGUAUGGGACCAAGGUAGAGUUAUUUCCAUUUUUCUUUCCUUUUAUUCAAAUCAAACAAUUGUAUGAGAAGCAUAGAAGUCUGAGAGGGCCAUGUCAAUGCAGCUCAUCCCCACCUUCCCAAACAAGGAAUCAAAGUCAAGGAUGACCCCCACAUUCACUGGGAUCGUUGUGUUUUGUGCCAUGGCUAAGAAAAUCCUAAAGAAUAACAAGAAGAAGAAGAUAGAAGAGACAGGGAAACUGGUAAUCUUGGUCAUGUUUGAAUAUCUUGGAUGUUUUGCAAUUCACGGCAUGAGACUACGUAGAUACUAACUUAUAUGAUGAUUAUGGACGAUGGGAUUUGGAAAAUUGGAAGAAACCUUGCUUGAAUAGCUUGAGAGCUUCAAGUUAAGAAAAUUUGAUGUUUUGCAAACAAUGACAAUAAUGUUCAAGAAAAUCCAACUGAAAACCGCCAAAAUAUAGAAAUAUAUUCAGGGGUGUAGCUACAAAUACCCCGAGAUUGCUGUAUGAUCUGCUAUAAAAAGAUGGAAAAUUCGAAGAAACCUUGCUUGAAUAGCUUGGGAGCUUCAUGUUAAGAAGACGAACCUGGACUUUAGCCGAGAGAGCAAGCGCGAGAGGCAGAGAGAGGGUCCGGCAAAUCUACAAUUCGACCCCAACAACAAACCCUAAAAUUCGAAAUUUGUAAUUAAAACACAAAAUUACAUAAUCAAUUGCAUAAUUACAGAGAAAACAAUAACUAGAUUUAUCAAUUGAAAGAAAAGUGCAAGAAAAAUGGAAGAAGGGGGAAGAACAGAGAGACGGGCGCAACCUGGGAAGAAGAAGAAAACUGGUGGGAUUCAAACGAAAAAGAAGACGAAGACGAACCUGGACUUCAGCCUAGAGAUCAAGCGCGAGAGGAUAGCGUCUGGAGAGGACCACGACCGAGCACGAGAGGACACUGCUUCUGGACAGUGCGUCUGGAGAGGAAUGAGACAGCGAGAGGCGCUCCGACUAAAUUGUACCAAGGUUUUGGACGGUAUAAGCAGUCGGGUAUCAAGCGUAUUAAGUAGGUGGGCCCGGAUUAUUUAAUCCGGUGACUAUCUAAUACGAACGGACACCAAACACUGUAUUCCGUAUUAUUAGUCCUAUCCGUUGUCCUAUCCGAUGUACCAAACACGGCCUAUCCGUUGUCCUAUUCCGUAUUAUUAGUCCUAUCCGUUGUCCUAUCCGAGUCAUACGAUUGCAUUUGACUACAAGGGUUAUAUUUGAUUCCUUUUUUAUGUGCAUUGGGAUGAUAUAACAUUAAAGUUAAAUUUGAUUUCAAAAUUAACUUCAUAACUUUUAAUUAUUGGAUUGGAGAUGGCUUAAUACAAAGUUUAAUAAGUAUCUAGAAUCAUCAAUCUAUAAAUGGAUGUUAGUAGUUGGGUUUCAUGCUAGUGGAAGUGGUGGUGGCAUCAAGGGCAGAUGUAUAAUGGAACCAAAGGUGGGUCCUAGGACCACCAGAGUUCGGGAAACACGCAUGUGAAAGUCCUCUGGAGACCCUUCGAAUGUUUGCUAUAAUCCCUUUUGUGCCCACAAAGUACUUGAUUUAAUGUUUGUUAGGCAUAUCUCAGUAAGUUGCGUUGACAACACUCGACAAAAGCUCUCGAUAGUACUCAUCAGAUUGUCGAUAUCUGUUGACAUGCAACAUGGUCCGGCUGACAAAAAUAAACCUUUGUGAAUAAAUUGAAUUUGUUUUUUUAACGCUUCACGCUCUGUUUCUAUCUAAAAAACUUGGACCUUUAACACUAAGACCCCCCAAAGUUCAAAUUCUAGAUCCGCCACUAAGUCACGAUGGUCAUGAUGGCAACGAUAGUGAUGACAAUGACGGUUGUUGGAUGGUGAUGGCUGCAGCAGUAGCAAUGAUAAUGGUGGUGCUCAUUGUUAGGUGGUGAUGAAGACGACAACAGUGGCAGUCAUUGCCUUGCCCAUGCGAUGGUGAUGGCGGAGAUGAUGGUGGCAGGAUUUGUGGCAAUGGUAAUGGUGGUAGCGGCACAUCCGCGGUGGGCGUGUAAGAAGAAUAAUGGUGAUGGUGGCAUAGUGUUCAAUAUUUUUUCCUAUGCUUAUGGUGCAAACAAAGAAAUUGUUGUAUGAUUUAAUAUUAUAUGUCCAAAUUCUAUAUAUUUCUUCAUCUUCAUCGCAAUGAAGAGUUAUAAUCUUAAAAUCCCAAUUGAAAACACCGCUCUAAUUACCUUUAAUACGACUUUCUGAUUUUGUUUUGACUGUUGUGAUGAGUUAUUGAAGGCCAAGAAAAAACACAAAAAGAAACAAAAGAAAAAGAGAAUAAAAAUGGAGAAGAUAUGCAAGUCGAGAGACCUACUAAACAAACGGAUAUCUAGAGAUUUAGUAUUCCCUUACACGAGAAGCGCCGUCUCUAGCCAGAAUACCUUCAAGAUCUCCGAUGAUUCUGGCCAACCAUAUCUCCAAAUUUCUUUGGAUUUCUUUCAAGUUGUUUCUAAUGGAAUCUGAACACCGUCGUGUGUUGUGUUUGGGCUGGUUCCCCAGCUCAUCUCCAUAAGAACUCUUCCCAAUCUCCGUUUAUACUGCCAUCAACUUCUGUCCAGUUUCUGUCGCACGUUGUUGAAGUCUAAAUGAUUCGAGUAAAAAUUCUGUUUGUCGUUGCGUACGAAACUCUGGACUGAGUGUAGGUUCGGAGGGAUCACUGCCUUGCUGCAAAAACAAGAAAAUUUAGUGAGCAACACGGCCCAAUAGGGGGCGACUUCAUCCCACAUGUACACGGGGUGCAGCGAUAACUAAGUGUACGACAUCACCUAAGAGAUGUCUUGGGGUCAGCUAAUUGGUGUGCUUGAGGCAUAGUCACAGCAAUACAACUUUGUUAACUUCAAACUAACGAAGCAGUUGCUUCUCAUUUAUAAAGAACCUCCUGUUUCAUUCCUUCUGCUCUCCUUUUUUUUCUUCAGUUGUACUAUCUGUUGUUAAUGGCGGAUUUCAACUUUAUUAGCGUUCCAAUAUAAUCAGGAUUAUCAGAGGUGUCUUACUUUUGUUUUUCUUUCUGUUGUAGUACUUUCUUCUGUUAAUACUUGGGCUCUCUACAACGUUUAACAGACGAUAAAGUGGCAUAACAAAAGUAAAACAUGGAACAUAAAACAUUACCAUUCUUCUGCACAGAUCAUCAAUCUUCCCCGCAAGAGCUUGAUACCUCUUGGCCUGCUUCCUCAUCAAUGAAGGUAACUUUGAAAUAUCAUUCUUUCCAACAGUUUCCAAAUUCAGUAAUUCCAGUUCAAGUAAUUUUAGCUUAGAGGAUAUUCUUGUCGACUCACCAUCUAGCUUCCAAGGCGACUCCCUAGGAAAGAAAGACGUGUUGAUAUUUAAGUUGCUGCAGAAUAUUAACUAGAAGCCUUAGAAAUGAUCAGUAAGUAGGUUGGCCGAUAUAUACCUUAGUACAAAAUGCUUCAUGUGAACGGUUCAAGGGAUUCAUAUUGUACAUCCUGCAUAAGGAGGAGAACGGAUUAAAACAAGUUCGAACCUUUCCAAUUUGAUAAAUUCGGAGAAGAGAAAAUACGCCAACAUAACUCAAUAAAAAACUCAAGCAGCAAAGCAGUGAAAAAAGACCACAUUGAAUUGCUUUUAAUAGUUUCCAAUUACAUUUGACGUUUGAUGGCUCAGAUGGAAAGUAUUAAAAAGCAAUUAAGUUAAACUUCCAUUUCAGAACACAAGAAGUCAGAACAAAUAAACAAAUUUGAGGAGACUUGAUGGAAAAGAAAAAGACAAAAUUUCUUCUCUUUUAUUUCAGUUUUCCAAAAAAACUGGAACAGUUGAUCAAAUCAUUGCAGAGAAUAUUGGUGUCCAACUUCAUUACAGCGAUAAGUGCCAAACAAAAGGGUAAACUUGAGAUGCCAAGUUACACAGUUUUGGGAUAACAAUUCGCUUUCCAGAUAGAACCAAACACAUGCCUUGUAAAUUGCAACUUGUUUGCUAGUGGUGAUGAAGGAGACAACGCACCUCAGUAUCUGGCAAAGGAUUUGAAGAUGAUAAUAAUAAUAAUGGAUUAAGAUUUAGUCUUUUUUUUUUUUUUUUUUUUUUUGUUAUGAUCAUCCAGAUGCCAAAUUGAAAUGAAAUCGAAGUUCCAAUGUGUGAAAGUGAUGGAGGCAAACCUGCCAGAGCUUGGAAGCACCAGCUACCAAGUGGGAGUUGAAGCCGAAGCCAACGACAUUGUCAUAGACAAUGACUUCCUCCUUGCCUCGGUGCUGGUGGCGGUGACAGUGGUUGUCGCCGUCAACCUCAGCCUCAGGUCCUCCUCCGCUCCUGGUGGCCAUGAAACCAAUCAUGUCGUCCCUCUCCUCAACCACCAUCUCCAAAUCAUGAAUCUUGGUUGUUCGUCUUAAGGAAUAUCCAGUGAGGACGUUCCCUGGCCAACGAGCACACAACUCACCAAGAGAUUGGCGCUGGUUGAUGUUGUUUGUCGGGCUUCUGCUUAUUGGCGGGCUGUAAGAGAAUGACAGAGUUAAUUCUGAAAGGUGCCUUUGUGGGGCCUUAGGUAUAGGCCUUGAGGCUCACAAUCAAAAUUAACUUUAAGUACCCAGGCAUGCCACUGCCAUCUUUAGCAUGACAGAUGUAAAACCGAUGUUAAGUUUUAUUGUAUAUAUAUGUCCGAGAGACCAAGUUGGUUAUGAAAGGUGCAUUUGUGGGGCCUUAAGUGUAGGCCUUGAGGUUUCCUGUCAAAACUAACCAAAUACUUGAACAUAUAUUGGUUGUUUCAUUGUUGCAGAAGUAUCACAACCGUUAUACUUUAAUCGCCCGAGCCCGCAAAGCAGAACGAAUUCAGAUAGGUGCCUUUGUUGGGCCUUAGGUAUAGACCUUGAGGCUUCCUAUCAGAGUUAAUUCUAUACCAAAGCGUUCUGUAGCAAUCAUGAUAUAACAGAAAUAAAACUAGAGAAUAAGCCAAUUACUUUCGCCCCAAGUAACUUCGGACUUCUUGUUAUCAAGGAUUAUCGUGGAUGGGUUAAGUCCACAUAGGGUUCUUUUUAUGCCUUGAGACCAAGGACUUUUAAUUGAUCAAUCUUGUCUGCUCGAAUGGUUAGAACUUAGAAGUCUUUUAAUCAUAAACUGGCUAGAAAUAACUUGGAUGCAGAUGGAAAUAUACAUCAUAUUACUAGAUAUAUGAAUGAAAGACAAAAAACAAAUGAGGUCGGGCAAGGUUUCACCUUGUCGGGAAGGCUGAUCGUCUUGCAACUUCCUCUCUUUAUGAUUUACAAAGGGUUUGAAUGCUAGAAAGGGAGAUUGGAAGAUGAGUUUACAUGAGGGAAUCGAUACUACAGCAAGAUUUAAACAGGGUAGCAGAGCUUUUACAAAGGCUUUCUGGUGAAGGUUGAUCCCGAAAAGGAUGAAGGCUUGGGGGCUGACUACAGCUUUGUGAAGGCAAAUCUGGUUUAAGCAGAGUUUGUGUUUGUAUUUGUUUGUUUGAUUGAGUGUCCUUGUCUCUGAUUUUUCUUCCUCCUUUUAUAGACGAUUUGGCUUGGCUGCCUGCAGUAUUGAUUUUGCCCGAAUGCAUUUGAAGGGCAAUGACUCAUCAACUUUUUACUUGUACUGCCAUUGUAAAGUACUUUUGGGCUGAUUAGCUGGCUGGUCUACGCCACUUGACCUCUAGGUAGGUGAGUAGGUGGUUUGAAUGAUUUGCACUUGGUCGGGAAAUAAGCUUAUUCUUUUUCUGGGCUUCUGCUGGGCCUUGGACUUUUCCUUCUUCUGAACCUUCUUUUGGGCUAACCCCUUUUUAACCCAAAGUUCAAGUUUUAUCCCAAACACUGGCAUUGGAAUCGUCCUAGGUUUUCUCCACCUCCAGAAUCUUGGCAUGGAGGUGGGCGAUUUCUUGGUGGGCGUUGUCGAUCUGGUUGAGCAUCCGUUUCUCCUCGGCUUGCUAAGCGUUGCGGUGGCUGGCGAAGAUCUCGACGACCCUGGCAUUGGCUUUGGAGUCCUCUUUUCGCCUGGAAGUCAUGAAGCUCACUUGCUCUUCCGCCUGCCAUAACAGCGCAGAGAGCUUACCCACUUGGCUCUGGAGCUCCUGGAAGUUGUCGGGAGCUAAAGCCAGGAAAACACCUAGGCUCAGGCCAAGGUAGGAGCAGAAUAGCUUCUUCGUAGCAUCAUCAUCAUCAUCUUCUUCUUCUAAUUGCUGUUGUUGUAGUUUGUGCCCGUUUUCAGCCAUAACUAGUGCAUGUAGGCUAUAGGAGAGAGAUAGAGAGACAGAAAGAGCGCAAGAUAUUUUGUGUUGGGGUUUUGGGAAGUGAGUCGCUUUUUGGUGUGUGCGAUGGACAAGGAUUGUCUAUCCUUCGGUUAGGGGUGGUUUCAAAAAAAUGAAAACAAAAAAAAACCGAAAGCCAAACCAAACCAAAACCGAAAAAACCCAACCGAAUUGAAAAUAUCGAACCGAACCGAAUUCUUUUGGUUCGGUUCGGUUUUAAUGAUCUAGAAACCGAACCAACCCGAACCGAACCAAAUUAAUUAAAUUAAUUUUUUUAUUUAAUUAUUUGUUUUGGGUAUUAUUUUCUAAACCCAAUUUGUAAGUUAAAAUGUGCUAAACCCAAUGUGUUGCCAAACUUUAAGCUCAAAAUAUAAAAAAAAGGCCUAUAAAAACUCUAAACCCUAACCUAUUAUUUCUCCCCCAUAUAAGGUUCCGGAACCAAACCUCCUCUUGAAGAACCUACUUCCAUCUCCAUAGCACUGUCUACUUCUGCCCUAGCUUUCUUUUCCAAAUCUACUCUCAUAUAACAUGUAACAUAAUCCAUAAACAUUUAUUUCAGGUAGAUUACUUGCGUAAUUUGUUAUGGAAAAGAAUCCAACACACACUAAAUAAAUCCACCCACGCAUUACUUUUACUAAUCAAGUUGUCAACAUGUAGUUACAAGCAAACAACCCUGAUCUUUGAACAACAUUAUACAAUUUAACUUUUCUAAGUCAUUUGUACGAUUUUUGUGUUAUGAGGUUGUUAGUUUGGACUUUGGAAGACUUGAUUGAUGAUUUUAGUUCAACUUUAAAUGUUUAUUUUCAUUGUCUUUGAUUCUAGUUAGAAUGCUUAUGUUAUGAUUGUGUUGGAAAUGUUAAAAUUUAAAAUUUCAAUGUUUUUCAUUUUUUGAAAAAAAAAAACAAAAAACCGAAACCAGACCGAAACCGAACCGGAAAAACCAAACCGAAAAAAAUAAAAAAAAAUGAACCAAACCGAAAUUUCGGUUUUGGCAAAAAAUCGAACCGAUUUGAACCGAACCCACCCCUACUUUCGGUGUCCUCCGUGCCCUCCUGUUUUGUGUAGUCACAAUUAAGUCACGUUAAUAUUUUAUAUUGUUUUUUUAUAGAUAUAAUAAGACAAAAAUAAAUAGUAAUAUAAAAUGUUGAUGUGGCUUAACCGUGACUAUACAAACAGAAGGGCACGAGGAGGGCACCGAAAGUGGAGGGCAGACAAUCCUUGUCCGUGUGCGACUGUGGGUAACAGAGGACGAUAGGGAAAAAACGGCUUUUGGGGGUUGUGAUUGUGCGAGUUUGGGAAGGAAGAGAAGACACUCGCUUUUUGCUUUUGGCACUACGGUUGGAGUCUACCUCUACCAACUUUGAUGGGUUCUUAACUGGUGUUAUUGUACUCAUUAAAAUUAACAGGUCAAAUAAUCUGACCCAUUGAGAAAAAGGAAAAAUUUAAAUUAACGGGCCGUGUCGUACAUUGUUCUUUAUUAUUGUAACUAUUGUCGUUAAUGGUUAUUUCUCAUUCUUUGUCAACGUUACAUCGCUGUAAAAUAUGUUUGUGAACAUUUUAACUAAAAAGAAUUCAAAUUCUGGCACCAAAUCUUUAUUCUUCACAAAAACAUAACUUGAAUUGCUUCAUUAUUAGAUUAUAUCCUGGCAAAUUGAUUAGGUACGUAGUUUGGCACAUAAUGAAAAAAAUUAGGGUUCAUAUAUUGUAAUGUGUUAACCCUGUUCUUGUUUUUAUUUUUUUAUAAUUAAACUAGAUCAAUGGUGAAAAUAUAAGAAAUAACUAGGGACAUAGAAAGAUGACAUUAGCUUACAAUUAAUUAAAAAAAAAUGAUUCAAUACCUAAGGAACAAAACAUCAACUUAAUACUUACUUUAAAAGAAUGAGAAAUUAGGUUCUCAUCCCUAUUUUUUCUACUCCAUUGAUUAAGUCUUUAUUCCUUUUCAAUUUUUAAUCAAGGUCCUUAAGUUUUAUUAACCUCAUCAAUUAUUUCAAUAAUAAAAUAUUUACAUGUCAAGAUAAUUAAAUUUAUUUUUUUCAAUUAAAUUAUAUUUCUAAAUAUAUUCAUUUAGUGUUUAGAAACUUUACCUUUGGUAUAUUUAUAUUUAUGGCUAAACUUUGUACCAUAUAUUUCUAUUUUUAGUUUGUACCCAUUUUUAAUUUGCAAUCUUUUUUUUUAAAUUAUACCAAUUUUCUUUUCAGUUUCAAUUUGUAUUCAUAUAUUAAUUUCUUUUUGUGCUCAUAUUUUUUAAACUUUUAUUUGUAAUCAUGAUUUUUUAAACUUUUAUUUGUACCCGUAAUGUAUUUAUAAUGUACCCAUUUUUAUUUAAAAAUGUAUCACUUUGUUACAUACCAAAUGUACCAAUUUUUUUUGUUUUGUAAGUAUCAUUCCUUUUAUGUAAAAUGUAUCUAUUUUUUAAUGUAAAAUCUAUUUAUUUUUUUAAUCUAAGAUAUACCCGUUGUUUUUCUUUAUAUAAAACGUACCUCUUGUUUUAUAUAUAUAUAUAUAUCUAUAUAUAAAAUGUGCCCAAUUUUUUGUACGUGCAAUGUACCCACAUUUUUAUAUAAACGUACCAAUUUUUAUAUGUAAAAAUGUACCCAAAAUUUUAUUACAUAAAUGUACUCACAUUAUAUGUGACGACCCGUCCCUAAUUUUCCUAUGUAAUUUCUCCCCGAGUAUGUAUUUUGACGAUUAUGCUCUUAUGGGCAAGUGACGUGGACGUAUUCGUAUCGCUUUUAUUCUAUUUUUCGCUAUCGUAUCUAAAUUGUGCAUGUCGUUACGGGUGAACGUAAAUUUUUAUUAGUGUGAAAACACUAUCCUGGAUAGAUUUUCGAUACUCUUUUCAGUAGAAAAUCUAAAACUCUAUCCCUAGCUUUUGCCUAGCCCAUCCCGUGCACCCUUCUUUAUUAUUCACUCUCUCACCAAUCACAUCUCCCCCUCAUUUAUGUCCCCCAAUCAGAAAAGAGAAAAAGGAACUCUCUUUCUCUCUCUUCUUUCUCUCCCUCUCUCUCGUAUGCUAUCUCUCUCUGCAAAACCUUCAAACGAGUUUCAAAGCUCACAGAUCGAACCCAAGAACCUCGUUUUCGUGUUCGUCUCAUCCUCAUGAACACAACUCUGUUCUUGAAGCCUAGAAUAUACGAGUUUUCAACGUCAAACUCGGGCAAACUGAGUUCGACGUGUUUUCGAGCGAGUUAGGGUGUUUUGAAGCUUGGGGAAACUUCUAUGCAACUCCUCGAGGCUCCUACAACAAUUUGGGAGAAGUUUGGAAGUAAAACGAUUGAGUUUCGAUGAGUUCACUUUUGGCCGAAACUUUCGAGGCUUUUUCCGGCGAACUCCGUCCACUUUUUAGACUCUAAAUAGGUAUAACACGAUUCUACUCUUCAUUAGCUUCAAAUCCAUAUAUAGUGCGUCGAAAAUGGUUGAGAAAUGAAGGAGAAUAGUGAAUUUGAAAAUUUUCCAGAAAUUCGACGAAAAACCGAGUUGCAGACGGCGAGGCUCACCGGAGAAGGAGACGGAAUAUUCCGUCAGAGUUGACGGAAUAUUCCUAAUGGCGUCAGGUAACACCGUUAAUGUCUGUUAGCUUUUAACGGAAUAUUCUCGACGAACGUUAGGCAUUGGCCAGCACGUGGGGUGCGUCUGGCCGUGCUCUUGACGGCGCGUGGGGGCUCAUGAGCCAUCCAAAAAUGUUUCUGAAAAUUUGGGAAUGUUUGUGACGUUGAGUAGGUCACGAUGGUAGAUUUAAACCCUAGGUUUGAGCAAACUAUGGGGGUUUUAUUUUGGUUUCCGUAUAUGUGCUUUAAUUAAUUUUAUUUUAGUUAUUUCAUAUAUAGGGGAAACGUAUCCUGAUGACAUUCGAGGCUAAGCUAGGCUCGGGGGUUACGACCCAGCGACGUACUUGUGAGUGGGCAGUUUAUUUUUAUCUAUACAUAUUUAUAGUUUCCAGAAUUACAUAAAUACAUCACUUUGCUUAUAUUGCCAAAUAAUUGAGAACUGCGAUAUAAUUGUGAUAAAUGCUGUUAUAUGGUUGAGAUAUUAUUGUCAUGAGAUUCAUACAUAUCUGUACAUGCUCAUCUUGCUGCACCUUGGUGUUAGUACUCACCCCAGGUCCAGUCCUUCACGUGUAUGUUCAUAUUGCACCGUUCGCUCGUCAUGGAUCCAAGUUAAGUGCCAGUCCUGUCGGGUAGAUUGCAUUAGGUAAUUCGACUUGUAUGUGAUGUGCUUUUGCACCAGUCUUCACGUGAUUGUAGUACUAGAGCAUAUUGAUUACACCCAGUCCUGUUCGUGUCAGAAACUAUCUGUUCGAACUUGUGUGUCAGCUUAGAUGGAUGAGCACUUAGUUAUACUUGAUUAUCACACGAUUAUUACUGUGACAUUUGAUACCAUCAUUACUUGGCAUAUUCCUGGUUAUAUUACUGCUAUAAUAUUAUCGAAUUAUUGUUUAUACACCAAAGUAGUAUGUUUUAAGGAAACUAUACUUGUUUUAUGGUGAGGGGUUAGUAUUUUCAAAGUUAAAGGUUUUCUUAUAAGCAUUGUUUUGCUGACCCACUCAACUUUGUUUUUUCACCCCCCUAGGACCUAGAUAGCUGUACUCUUUGUGGCACUCGAGGAAUCCUGGCAGUUCUGACAUUUCCUUUUGUUUUAGACGUACGAACUUAUCACUAUUAUGUAAUAAGUGUACUUUGGUUGUUUUGACUACUCUUCUGUAGUCUCACUGUCUAUGACGCUCUGAAUAUUUGUAGUGGGUUCAACCCACGAUUGCGCACUCUUUCACUUUUAGUUCUAAUUAGUUUUAAUUUCAUUCACUUUCUGCAUCACUUACCCUUAUGGUUACGUCACCUCACGGUGAUGGCCAGCAUGCUUCAACCUUUCCAGGUCAGGGUGUGUCAUUAUUAAAAAAAAAAAAAAAAAAUAUAUAUAUAUAUAUAUAUAUAUAUAUUCUAAAAUGCACCCAUAAGCAAUUUUUUUGUUGUGGAAACCCAUAAGCAAAUUUCAAUAAUUAAAUUGGUGGUGUAAAUGAAAGAAAAAUAACAUUUGAGUAUUUAUUGAUAUUAUUACAUUUCUUUUAUUAUUACGUCAUUUAUGUGGAGAGGGACUUCAAUCUAAAACCUAAAAUGCAUAAGGUUUGUUUUAUAACAAUUAGGGACCAGGGACUGCAACUAAACUAUACCUUAAAAGAAAUACAUUGCUCUACAUAAUUUAAGAUGGCGGUGAUGAAGGUGGUGCUGGGUGGUAGUCAUCAUCAAAGUUUCUAAUACGAGCUGCCCAUUUUUCUUUUUAUCUUUUUUUUUUGUAUGUACUCAACGCCCUUGAAUCUGGACUUAUGUGGGAAGUAUCGGCCAACAUUGUCACAUCUCGACCCAGCCUCGACUCCGCCGUAGCAUGAUAUUGUCCGCUUUGGGCCCUGGCCAUGCCUUCACGGUUUUGUUUCUGGGAACUCACACGAGAACUUCCCAGUGGGUCACCCAUCCUGGGAAUGCUCUCGCCCAAACUCGCUUAACUUCGGAGUUCCGAUGAAACCCGAAGCCAGUGAGUUCCCAAAAGCCCUCAUACUAUAUAGAGGUGGGCAUGUACAUAUAAGGCAUAGAUGAUCCAUUCCCCUGGGCGAUGUGGGAUCUAACAAUCCACCCCCCUUAGGGGCCCGACGUCCUCGUUGGCACACUUUCGGCCAGGGAUUGACUCUGAUACCAAAUUGUCACAUCCCGACUCGGAGUCCACCACAUCCUUGGCUCCGCCUCUGCCUAGCACGAUAUUGUCCAUUUUAGGUCCCAGCCAUACCCUCACCGUUUUGUUUCUGGGAACUCACACGAGAACUUCCUAGUGGGUCACCCAUUAUGGGAUUGCUCUCACGCGUACUCACUUAACUUCGGAGUUCUGAUGGAAUCCAAAGCCAGUGAGUUCCCCAAAGGCCUCGUGCUAUAUGGAGGUGGGCAUGUACAUAUAAGGCAUAGAGGAUCCACUCCCCUGGGGGAUGUGGGAUCUAACCAAACUAACACACCCCGACUGGAAUCGAGGCAUGUUGGCCGUUACGUGAGGGUGAUGUAGCCAUGAGCGUAGAGCAAAAGUGAUAGUGAUAUGAAAAUGUGAGUAAUUAAAAACCAAAACUAACUGAUUUACACUAAGAUAACUAUAAAAGUGUGCAGAGGUGUUAAAAGUAGUAAUGCAAGUACUCAGAGCGUAAGUAACCUAAGUGCAGUCCAACAGGCUAAGUAUUAAUUAUACAAGACAUGAAAGAGAUUCCUACAUUAAUUGAAGUCUGUCAGAACCACCAUAGAGUCCUCAUAAGCCACCAACACGUACGUCUAAUUAGAACCUAGAAGGGUGCAAAACAGAAAACGUGAGUGGGCAAAAACAAAGCUUUUUAAAACCAUUUCUCUUUCCAAACAUAAUAACACCUUACCGUAAAACCUGUAUAAUUUCCCAGAAAAUAAUAAUACAUACGUAUGUAGAAAUUAUGCUCGAGAGUAGUGAAAACCAAGUAUAUGCCAUGUCAAGCAUCUCAACAAUGAAAUAAGUAAGCCAGGUAAAAUAAAUCAAUGUAAACUGAUAUGUCAGCCGGAGUCACCCAACAUGACCUGUACGGCUGAACCUAUAGCUCAUCAACCAAUUCCUACACAUGAGUCGGAACCACUUAAUGUGGUAUGUACGACAAGCCGGGUGUAAAUAGAUACGCUUAAGUGCUACGAUCACGUGAAGGUUGUGCGAAGUAUCGCAAGUCACCUACGAGUCGGAACCACCUAAUGUGGUCUGUACGACAAGAUGGCACCUGCCUUGGAUCCAAGGUGGGCGUGUGGUGCGGGAGGUGAACGAUCACGUGAAGGCUAGGUCCUAACCUCAGGCGGAGCACUAAAACCAGGGUGCAAGAUAAUGAGCACUAAAUGCAUCUAAACAUAACCAUACAUACUGCAAUGACUAUCAUCAGUAUGCACUCACCUGAAGCUUACCUGGGCAUCCGCAGCGUCAUGCAAUAAUAUGCAUAUCUAUACUAAUGCACAUGCUAAAAUGUAAUGCAAUUGACAUGGCAUUUAUAAACGUAAAUCCAUUUAAAAUAAUUUCUGGAAAAAUGGAAAACAUAUAUACAUAUAUAUAGAAAACCAAAAGCUCACUCACUGGUAUGUAGCAGGGUCGUAACCUCCGAGUCUCGCCUGGCUACGCUCGUCCUCUAGAAACUUCUCACCUAUAUGCGAAACAACUAAUUUAAUGUUAAUUCUAAGCACAUAACCAAAACCGUGUAAUAACUUCUCAUACGUUGCUCAAUUAGGAUGUUCAAAUAUACCAUUGUGGCCUACUCAACACCGCGAGCAUCCCCAUAUUUUUAGAAAAAAAAUUCUGAUGUCUCAAACGCCCUCACACACAGGCACGUGCCUAGCAGGCUUACGGAAUCCCUAACGGUAUUAGGAAAUAUUCCGUUAAAUAGAAGCAUUUUUCGUUUAAAAACUAACAGAGUUACCUGACGCUGUCAGUAUAUUCCGUCAAAGUUGAUGGAAUAUUCCCUUUAUUGUCCAGUGGCUUGGCCAGAGCUGCUGUCGACUGCCGUAUAUUACACCAGAAACUGGAAAAUUUUAAAACUUCAAUAUCUCCCUUGUUUCUUCACCAAAAUUCACAAAUUUUCUAUAAAUUUGAAGCUCUCAACAAGGAGAACAUAAUCUUACCUAUUUGAAAUCCUAAAACCGAUGGAAAACGACCAAAAAAAUUCUUGGAAAAAUCGGCUAGCUCUGCAAUUCCACAAUCGUGCUUAUUCCGACGUCCAAACUUCUCCAAAACUAGUCUAAAAUGCUAGGGAAGUUGAGUAAGUACCUUACUAAGCCUCAAAACCAAGUGAAUCACCCACGAUCACGUUGAAGCUAUUUUAGCUCUUCAACAUAAUUUUUGAGUUAUGGGGUUUUCGAGAUCAACUCACUUAACAAAUGGUACCACAAGAUUCUAGAGCUCGAGAUAAGUAUGAUUAUAGAAACCUCAAGUUCGAUCUGUGAAGUUUGAUGGAGUUUGAAGGUUGGAGGACUUAGUUGUACGGACGGGAAGGAAAGAUAGAGAAGAAAUGAGGGAGAAGAGUUUGCACAUGUGUGUGUGUGUGUGUGUGUGUGUGGUCACAGGUUGGCCAAAAAAAGAACAAAUCUCAUGCCCUAAUUGGGCUAUAGGAUUUAAGGCUUACACAAAAGAGUCCAAAAGAAAAUAAACUAUCCCAAAAAUUUGAUUGGGCUCCAAGUUGUAGGAAUUAAAUUGAUUGGUGACUAAGAAAUAGUCAACCUAAGAAUAUCCUUUCUCCCAUUUACCAAAUCAUUUGCUUGUACAAUUUAAUUACAUCAGCGAGAAAAAGAGUUUAAAACUAUAUACAUACAUCCACAUCACUAAGCCUCAAGGACAUAAUUGUCACUUUCACACAUUCAGGGAGAAAAUAUAUAUUUAUUUGGGACGGGUCAUCAUAACCUACCCCCUUAAGAAAAUUUCGUCCCUGAAAUUUCUGUACAUUAGCAUAACACAUAUUAAUAUCCAUAAAAUAGCCGUGGAUAUAAAUGUUGCAUACAAUCAUUCGUCUCCCAAGUGGCUUCUUCCAUUGAAUGGUUCAUCCAUAAAACUUUCACCAUACACACAGUCUCGUUCCUAAGAACCUUAUCCUUCCAGUCUAAAAUCGUCACUGGCUCCUCGUCAUAUGUCAAGUUUGGAUUAAUUUGGAAUGGUUGAGGAGGUAUCAUGUGUGAUGGUUCAGAGACAUAAUGAUGAAGCAUAGAGACAUGAAAAACGUGGUGCACCUUUUAUAGCUCUAGAGGUAACUCAAGUCUAAAAGAAACUUCACCAACUCCUCGGUGAUCUGGUACGGUCCAAUGUAGCGAGGACUUAACUUACCCUUUUUACUGAAUCGUACUACGCCCUUCCACAGAGAUAGCUUCAGAAAUACCCAAUGUCCAACUUUAUACACCCUAUCAGUGGCGUGUUUAUCGGCAAGGCUUUUCUGUCGAUCUUGGGCCGCUUUCAGGUUAGCUUUAAUUACCUGAAUAUUUUAGGUAGUCUCAUCAACAAUCUCAGGGCCCACUAACACCCUUUCAGCAACUUCUGACCAACAUAGAGGAGUACGACAUGACUUACCAUAAAAUGCCUCAAAAGGUAACAUCCCAAUACUAGAAUAGUAGCUGUUAUUAUAGGCAAACUCAAUCAAAUCCAAAUGCUUAUGCCAAGUGUCGCCAAAAUGCAGCACUGAAGAUCUCAACAUAUCUUCUAGCGUUUGGAUAGUUCUUUCAGAUUGCCCGUUGUUUGCGGAUGAUACACCGUACUAUAAAGCAAUCUCGAACCAAGAGCUUUCUAGAAAGACACUUAAAGCUUAGAAGUAAACAUAGGAUCCCGAUCAGAAAUAAUACUAAUCGAAACCCCAUGGUAUUUAACAAUCUCUUAUAUAAAUAACUCAGCUAAUCGGCAUAAAGAAUAGUUCUCUAGAACAGGUAUAAAAUGUGCUGACUUGGUAAGCUGAUCCACUAUCACCCAAAUGCUAUCAUAACCAUUUCGCGUACGAGGAAGUUUAUACACAAAGUCUAUAGUAAAAUCUUCCUAUUUCCACUGUGGUAUGGGAAGUGGCUGCAUUAAUCCAAAAGGCUUCUUCCUCUCAGCUUUGACUUGCAGACAAACCACACAGUGACUCACAUAUUCAUCAAUCUCUCUUUUCAUGCCAGGCUAGUAGUAGAAAGGUCGAAUAGUAUGAUACAUCUUGGUACUCCCAGGAUGCAUCGCAUAAGCCGAAACAUGCACCUCAUCAAGAAUAUCUUUUUUUAAUUCUUCGACAUUAGGCACAUACAUUCGGUUACCUUGCAUCAACAGACCAUCAGAAUCCCUAAUCCUGAGAUCUUUCUUUUUCCCCUCUGAAACUGCAUGAAUUAACUCCUGAGAUUCCUCAUCAUUCAUUUGAGCCUCGAGUACACGAUCUAUCAAAAUUGGUCUGACCCGAAAACUGGCAAGUAGGGUUUUUUCCCGAUCUAUGACUCCUAAAUCAACUCCAGUAGAUAUCAAUUCUGUGAGAAUAGGGACACGACAAGUAGGUAGAGCAUUAAGUCGACCAUAUGAUUUCCUACUAAGUGCGUUUGCCACUGUGUUCACACGACCAACGUGAUACUCAAUUGUGCAAUCAUAAUCACUGAGCAAUUCUAUCCACAUCCGUUGUUGAAGGUUAAGGUCUUUAUGGGUGAAAAAGUAUUUGAGGCUUUUAUGAUCUGUGAAAAUCUUGCACUUUUCCCUAUAAAGAUAAUGCCUCCAAAUCUUCAAAGCAAAAACAAUGGUCGCCAAGUCAAGGUCAUACGUAGGAUAAUUCAUCUCGUGAGGCUUCAAUUGUCGUGAAGCAUAAACAAUCACCCUACCAUGAUACAUUAACACACAACCCAAGCCAUUCAAAGAAGCACAAGUAUAAAUAUCAAAGUUACCAUUGUUGUCCGGAAGUGCUAAAACAGGUGCAUGAGUGAGGCAAUACUUUAACUGCUGGAAACUUCGCUCAUAAUCAUCGUCCCAUUCGAAUUUAACCUUCUUACUAGUUAACCUCGUUAAUGGUAGAGCUAUAGCUGAAAAAUAUUUCACAAAACAUCAAUAAUAACCAGCUAGGCCCAGAAAACUCCAUACUUCCGUAACAGUGCGAAUAUGUUCCCAAUUUUCAACUGCAGCUACCUUCUGAGGAUUCACAAGAAUACCCUGAGCUGAAAUCACAUGCCCAAAAAAUGCCACUUGAUCUAACCAAAAGUGGCAUUUGCUAAACUUAGCAUAUAAUUGGUGUUCUCUCAAUUUCUUCAAAACCAGAGUGAGAUGUCAAGUAUGCUCUGCCUUAAACUUAGAAUACAUCAAAAUAUCAUCAAUAAAGACAAUAACAAACCUGUUGAGGUAUGGCUUAAAUACUUGAUUCAUCAGAUCCAUAAAAGAUGCAGGUGCAUUUGUUAACCCGAAUGGCAUCACGAGGAAUUUGUAAUGACCAUAUCAAGGCCUAAAAGCCGUCUUAGGGACAUUUUCACUUCUGAUCUUUAAUUGAUAAUACCCAGACCUCAAAUCAAUCUUAGAGAACACGCAAACACCUCGAAGUUGGUCAAAUAAAUCAUCUAUACGCGGCAACGGAUAACGAUUUUUAAUUGUUACCUGAUUCAGCUGUCGAUAAUUGAUACACAGCCUCAAAGUCCCAUCCUUCUUCCGUACAAAUAAAACUGGAGCUCCCCAAGGUGAAGUACUAGGCUGAAUGAAACCCUUAUUAACCAAUUCCUGCAACUGGGUUUUCAAUUCCCUCAACUCAGCAAAAGCCAUUCGAUAAGGAGUUAAGGAAAUAGGAUAUGUACCUGGAAUUAAAUCAAUAGUGAACUCUACUUCUCUAUCUGGUGGUAAUUCAGGUAAAUCAUUAGGGAAGUGCCUAACUACCCGUACAUCCUCCACACGGAUAGGAGUAUCCUCAUUCAAUACCACGUGAGCCAAAUAACCCUAACAACCUUUCCUUAGUAGCCGUCUAGCCCUCACAACAUAAAUAACGCUGUGUUUCAGUCCACUACGCACACCUACAUAAGUAACCACAUGCAAGCCCCGCCUAUGGAAAGUGACUGUCUUUUCGUAACAAUCUAAUUUGGCACGAUUGUAAUGUAACUAAUCCAUGUCCAGAAGAACAUCGAAAUCAACAAUAUCUAAUGGAACAAGAUUAGUUGGCAUAACGAUGUCCUCCACCAGAAUAGGACUUCCUUGAUAUGCCCAGCUAACAUAACAUGUCUCACCCCUAGGCAAAGAAAACUCUAAUUCAUAACCAAGAGGUGUAAGGUAGGGUUGCGUCUUUUGAGAAAACGUAUGAGAAAUAACCGAGUGUGUGGCACCAUAAUCAAUUAAUACUCCAGCAAAAUGGCUAAGAAUAUUCAACAUACCCAUAAUAAGAUCAAGAUUACUCUACACAUCCUGCAGAGUAAUGUGGUGAACAUAACCUUGUGGCUGCUGCCGUCCUCCACGACCUCUGUUAGCUUGAUUUCCACGUCCCUACAAACCAUGUCCGUGAACAGGCUGAUUAGACUGCCUUGAUGAUUCUGCACUGCUAGAAGCAACCUCAACAUUCUAGGACUGUUCUCUAGGAUACCACUGUGAUCCACUAGCUGGAUAUAACAGAUAUGGCAUGUAACUUCCUAGAUACUAAUGGUACGGAUCAUGUGGUUACUGAUACGGUCAUCCAGAAUAUGGAGCUAUAUUUCUCUGAUAAUGAUAUGCACCCCCAUAACCCGUCGGAGUAUAACAACUAGGCCUUGGAACUUGCUGAAUAGGAAUUGAUGGUGGCAAGGCAUGUGGCUGAGGCUUCUGCUAGCUAUGUGGGCACUGAUUAGCUCGGUGUCCCGUCUAACCAUAAACAAAACAUCAUUUGUUGCCUUGUCUACAAUCUCCAAAAUGUCGACUAUUACAUCUACGACAGAAUGGACCACCAGAACCAUUAAAAUCUCUCUAUCUUUGAAAGUGGCAACCUCCUGAAUGGCCGCCCCUCUGCGGUGCAGUAGAACUCGAGCCCCUACUAGAAGAACCAGAACUAGUAUCACUUCUCUUAAAACUCCACGUCUUGCGAGGUCCCUAUGAUGACUGGCCUUUAUCUUUAUUAUUAUUUAUCUUCUGGUUAUUAUCUUUUUCUCCUUCCUCCUCACUAUCAUAUGAAGCAUUCUCAGAGUCCUCAACCUGAAGUAGAACUUCAUAAAACUCCUAAUAUGUAGAGCAGGGGGUCGUAGUCGCCAUAGAACGCCAUUUCUUUCGAGUACCCCACUUAAAUAGUUGAAGCAUUUCGGCAGGAUUUUCAGCAAUCUCCGGACAAUAUCGGGACAAAUCAGUAAACUAUCUAUAGUACUCAUUAGUUGACAUUUUCCUUUGUUUCAAAUGCGAGAAUUCUUCCUUCUUACAAUCCAAAUACUCUGGGGUACAAAUCUCUUCUAGAAUAGAUGCUUAAAAGCCUCCUAAUUUGCGGCUUAUUCUGGUGACAACUAAAAAGAUUCUUGCCUCCACCAGGAUGUAGCAUCCUUACCCAAAAACCAAGUGGUCGUCUCCACCCAUUUAUCCUUAGGAAGAUUUCCCUGUCAUUGCAUCAAUCGAAAAGUUUUCUCGGGCCCCUCAGUACCAACGAAAUUAUUCAACUUUAAGUUAUAUACAGUCUCCAAGGGGGUUCUCUGGGGAGGAUGUAGCGAGUAUUGAAUAGCAUUAGCAAUAACUUCACCAAGUUAGGCAAUAUCUGGAAAAUUAGACUCGGAGGAAGUACGUGGGUCUCUACGAGGUGACAUGGUUCCGACAUAAGACAUAAAAAAUUAUUAGAAUACCCACAAAAUAUGCAGGACUUUUUCUCAAAACAUUCUCUAAAUUCGCUCAUUUGUUUAGCUACUUCGCUACCUUCAUCCACCUCCUUUGCUUUUCUUUUUUGCUCUUUGGCAUUUUGUUACCCAUAGGCUUAUGACGGAGGUUUUGGGUUCUGGAACAAUCUUUGAUUCAUCAUGUUUGUACCAUAUUUAGGACCUCCGUAUUUAGACCUCGUAUAAAUACUCGGGGGACUCAAAUGUAAUUAUGUAAUAAAUGAAGGGGCAAAUAUGUAAUAAGUGAGGAGCCCUUAUUCUAUAAAAUGACUCCUCACUCCUCAUUAUGAGAGAUCAAGGUUUAGGCCAUGGGAAGAGAGAAAACAUCUUAGAGAGGGCAAACACAGAAAAUAGGCUAGAGAGCACACUGCCUCUAGCCUUCUUGUAUAUUCACCAUUUAGAGUGAAAUAAUAUCAACAUCAGUGUAGACGUAGCCCAAACAGUGGGGUGAACCAUGAUACAUCUUGUGUUCUUUACUUUCUUGCAGAUUCACAGUCGGAUUUAUGUUGUUCCAAGGCCCCUCCGAUUUUGUGCAUCAACAUUUGGCGCCGUCUGUGGGAAACGACACGAAAAGCUAUGUCGAAUAUUAAUUUCGAGCAGUAGUGAGAAUUAUCGUUUCACGAUGCCUCUGUACCACUGACAAUUAGCAUAUAUUAAUUUCUUUCCGUGGAUGCCAACUCAUCCUCGACCCACUGCUCGACUCAGUCCUCACUCGCUUCUUUCGACUCAAGGUUUUGGCUCAAAAUCUGGAGGCUGUUUCUGAAGUUGGAAGCGCGAAUACAAAUGCUUCCAGGCAUUGAUUCAAUUUAGUGAUGUUGUCACCGCAUCUAUGGCAAGGAAUGCGUUGGAUGGAAGAAGUAUACCCAGUUUCACCGAAGCAGAUUCAAGCGGACCUCUGCUCCAACGACGCCUUCCGCCAGUCCAGAGCAUUUCUCCAAGCUCUCCAGCAAUCCACCGCCAGCCGCGACAUCUCCGUCAUCGCCAAGACUGCUGUCGAAGAGAUCGUCGCCUCCCUGGCCUCACUGCAGACCUCUAGGACACCGUCUGCAUGGGAGUUCCCACCGAUCUCGGCUUCCCCAAUCCCGAUGUCAGCGUCACCGUUGUCUUCAUCCUCACCGACUUGCUGGCCGAACCAGGACCGAUGGCCGGAUCUGGUCACUUGGCUCGCCGUCGCUCACAGAGUCCUCAAGUUCGAGUUUGUCAUCGUUUUCCUCCUCUCUGUCUAACCUCUGAUUCAUGAUUUUUUCCAUCGUGCCAAGGAGAAUGCUCCUACCAUCAUCUUUAUUGAUAUGGUGGAUGAUAUUGCCAUUACAAGGUGAAGAACCUGAUCUAUGCCUUCGACGAUAAGGAGAAUGACCAUAAGAGCCGCAAGGCCUUUGUCUGCUUGGUUUACCAGCUGGACAAUGGGUCGGAGCUCCAGUUCACCCGAGCCAUUACAGGCGGAGUGAGUACCGUAUCGAUGGGGUGUCUGUGACGUGGGAAUAGUACAAUGCAAAGCUCAGGUCUCUUGGGAUUCUUGUCAAGGCCCUGAAUUUCCUCGUCUUUUAGAAAGUCUUGGGCAUUUUCUCUCUCUACUGUAUCAGUCUCUCUCUCUCUCUCUGUGAGAAUUGAGGUGGCUCACCGGAAGCUUCAACCUCACUAGCCACUUUACUCUCUUCCUUCAUAAGGAUACCAUGUCUCGCACUCAGGAUGAGUCAGAGUGGCCUCAUCUUCUAGUGCUGCCUUCAUAUGGGAGAGGCAGAGAUGCCCCGGGUGAAAAGUUCAGCAAUCUUAUCUUCAGAACAAACCUCACCAACGUUACCGGGAAGAAGAUAAGUUUAUAUAACAAUUCUAUUAUUAUUCCCUACCAUCUGCCAAAAGAAAAAAGAAAAGAGCUUUACUUUUCUUUUGCCUGCCUCAAUUAUUCUAUAAAUGGUGCCCCAUCUCCUGCGAAUGCCAGGGCAAAAGCGGAGAUAAGAUUCUUUCCUUAUAAUAUUUCUAUUAUUAUUCUCCUUUGUGUUGUCUACCAUGCCUGCUGAUCAAACGUGCCUCCACGUGAAGGUUUCCUCCAACGGCUAGAUCGCUGAGGUUUAUGUGAACGGAGAAAUCUCGUUGUUGCCAAGUCCCAACAGUUUUUUUUUUUAAUGAUGUGAUUUACUUUUCUUAUCUUUUGGAGACAUCUGUAUAACCCCACCAGAGGGUAAUCAUAAAUAAAGAAAGAAGGCAGCAUGCCAAAAAAACAAAGUCAAAAUGUCAGCAAGCCCAAAAUAGUGGGCUAGAAUGUUAUGUGGAGGGCGAAGGCCUAUAUGCCCAAAAGAGCCAGGCCAUAUGGCUUCAAACACCAACCUUCAUCCCUCCACUUAAGGUUCACCCUCUAUUAUCACCAACCAAGUAAUAAAAACUACGUCCAUACUCAAAAAUUAUUCAGCAACCUGUCGUUAUUAUCACCAACCAGGUGAUCAAAAGUACAACCCGUCCUUCAAAAAAUCAUACGUGAGCAUCACUCAUGACAAUCACCAUCAUACAUGAGCAUCACUCAUGUCAAUCAUACAUAAACAUUCAUGAGCAUCACUUAUGUCAAUCAGCUUCGAAAGCUUCAUUUACAGAGCUCUAGCUUCGAAAGCUUUAUUUAUAGAGCUCCAGCUUCGAAAGCUUCAUUUACAGAGCUCCAGCUUUGAAAGCUUCAUUUACAUAGCUCUAGCUUCGAAAGCUUCAUUUAUAGAGCUCCAGCUUCGAAAGCUUCAUUUAUAGAGGCCCAGCUUCGAAAGCUUCAUUUACAUAGCUCUAGCUUCAUUUAUAGAGCUCCAGCUUCGAUAGCUUCAUUUACAGAGCUCUAGCUUUGAAAGCUUCCUUUACAAAGCUCUAGUUUCAAGAGCUCUAACUUCGAAAGCUUUAUUUACAGAGCUCUAGCUUCGAAAGCUUCAUUUAUAGAGCUCCAGCUUCGAAAGCUUCAUUUACAGAACUCCAGCUUCGAAAGCUUCAUUUACAGAGCUCCAGCUUCGAAAGCUUCAUUUACAAGAGCUCCAGCUUCGAAAGCUUCAUUUACAGAGUUCCGACUUCAAAGCUUCAUUUACAAAAGCUCCAGCUUCAAAGCUUCACUUUCAAAGCCUCACCUAUAAAACUUCACUUUCAAAGCUUCACCUACAAAGCCCAUACAUGGAUUGAAUUUGAAGUCUCCAGCCAACAGACUCUAUUGACUGAAAACUUGGGGGACUACACUAUGUACCAUAUAUUGGGCUUCCACAACUGGGCCUCAUGAAAAAUACUUGGGGGACUUAGCCCAUCAUUUAUGUAUUGAGGAGCAAACCCUUAUUCUAUAAAAGGGACUCCCUCACUUUCAUUAGAGAGCACCCACUAUUCAUGUAUUUAGGAGCAAACCCUUAUUUUAUAAAAGGGACUCCCUCACCUUUAUUAGAGAGACUCUUAGCCCAUCACUUAUGUAUUGAAGAGUGAACCCUUAUUCUAUAAAAGGGACUCUCUCACCUUCAUUAGAGAGCAUCGCUGCCAGCUGAGCAACCGCCUCGCCGCAAGCAUCACUCCUAACCCAUCACUUAUGUAUUGAGGAGCCGAGCCCUUAUUCUAUAAAAAUGGACUCCCUCACCUUCAUUAGAGAGCAUCACCGCCAACUGAGCAACCGCCUUGCAGCGAGCAUCACUCCUAAUAUAUCACUUAUGUAUUGAGAAGUCGAGCCCUUAUUCUAUAAAAGGGACUCCCUCACCAUCAUUAAAGAGCAUCGCCGCUUGCUGAGCAACCGCCUCACCGCGAGUGAUCGGAUGAUAUUUAUAUAUAUUUUUACUUCGAAUUCACUCGUCUUUUCUUAGUUAGUUCUUUAUAUUUUUGAGCUAUUUACGUUAUUUUUGUGUUUAUAGGAUUUGUUAUGCAAAGAAAAUAAAAAUAGAACAAGUGAAAUUUUAUGUAAUAAAUUCGUCAAAACUGUCUGUGUAGAUCAGCUUUUAAAUAAAAUUAAAAAUAAAUAUAUAUAUAAUAAUAAUAACAAGUCAUGAUGAUGUUUGAAACAUCAUCAUGAUUCAUGUUUUGUAGAAGAAGAAAGGAACGGCAAAGAAGAAAAGAAAAAGAAAGAAAAGAAAAAGAAAGGAAAAGGAAAAGAAGGAAAAGGAAAAGAAGAAAAAAAAAUAUAAACAAGCAGAAAAAGGGAGAGAGAAGCAGCAAGCAGACAGCUGCCUUGCGGCAGCAGAAAGAGGAUAGAGAGAAGUGGGAGCGGGAAAAGUCAGUGGAAAGCAGGAGAGACAGCUGGGAGCGCAGUAGGCGCAGAGAAUGUGGUGGACAGCAACAGAAAAAAAUAAAAUAGAAAAAAAAGAAAUAAGGAGGAGGUCAGGAGCAUGAGGAUAUAGACGGGAUUGGCAGAAGAGAGAAUAAGGGGGGGAAUUGGUGGAAGGCAGAGGGCUGCCCUUUGGGCAGCGUGAAGCUGCGGAGAGAAGGGAAGUCAGUGGCGAGGAGGACAGGAGGUCAGCAUGAAAAUGCAGUUCAGAGUCCAUGCAGUUCAGAGUCCAAGCAGCAGAUCCUUUCUUUCGGUUUAAUCUUUCCAAACUCCUAUUUUAUUUUUAUUUUAAUAAUGUGUAAUUAAUUUUAUUUUGGCUAGAGGUUAAUUCGAAACCAUGAAUAUAUUUGUAAUAUGAAUUGAUUACCUUCGGUUGUGAUUUCAUAAGUUGUGAUUUCAAUUUACUUAUCCGUUCGUAUAAAAACUGAUUUGUGUAUGUUGGUUGAGAGUGCACGCUUAAUUUACAUGCAUGAAUUUGAUGCUAGAAUAUAAGUGAAUUUCACCUAAUCGUUAUGAACUUAUUUUCACAAGUAGUAAAGGUUGCUAGUCACAAUCACGUUAAGUAAAUUCUUGGCAAGAGUAUCAUGCUUUUCAUAGUUACGAAUGCCUCGUCAAUGCUUAUAGUUUUCACAAAGUUUAAUGAUCUUUGAUUGUAUCGCUAUUGUGCUUUUCACGUAGGGGACUUUUGAAGAAUGUUUUGAAUUGUUGUAUGCGUUUUUCCGUCCAAUUCAAUAACUUAAGGAAAACUUGAAGAUUAAAAAAGUGCUAUUCACGGUUAAUCUGGAGUAUUGAGAUUCAAAAUUUAUUAAAUGAACAACUGGAAAUCAUUUUGUAUGCAAGUAUAACAUGUGUGGAGAAUAACCCUCUAGCUAGUCCGUCAUUUAUCUUUUCAUUUUAAUUUCAUGUUUUUGUAAAUUCUGUAAUUUAAUUAAGUUUAAUUUACUUUUCAUCAAAACCAAACACCCAUCCAUUGUUAAAUUAUAUUAUUUAGUUAGUUUUCUUUAUUGUUAGUCUUUUAAUUUAAUUUCCGUCCAUUUCAGUUCCUAGUGUUUAAUUUGAUUGUUUUCAUUAUUUUGAGUCAUUCUAAGUGUGUUUCGAGUUAUUAGAGUUUUUAGCCUAGUUUUGUGUCCUUGAGUCUUGUUUAAUAUUUUUAAUAGAUUAGCAAUCCCUCCUAAUCCCCGGCCUAGAACGAUACCCUACUUACAUCUAUACUAUAAUUGUCAAAAAGAGGGUUUAAUUUUGUGUGUUAACUUAUUUUACGCAUCAAAUUUUGGCGCCGUUGCCGGGGAUUAGUAACUUUGCUAAUCCUUUUAUUUUUGUUUUUGUUUAUGUUUAUAUUGGUGUUUGUGUAUUUUACUUUUGAUAUUUGAUUUAUUUUUCUUUCUUUGAUUUUAGGCACAAAUGGAGCUGAGGGAAAUUUAAAGGAAAGAUGCGUCCGGCUAAAGACGUUAAAUCAAGCGCUUCUUGGGAGGCAACCCAAGCAUUCAACGAAGGGAGACUUUGGAAUCGCUAACCCAAUCAGAUUUGCAUUUUUACACCCUUAUCUUUACUGCUUUCAUUUUGUUUUGUUUAGUUAGUUGUGUUAUUUGUUUGAUUUCUGUGAGUUUGUGUUAUUUAGUUUAAGUAUGGGGGAAGGUUAACCAAAGUCUUUCUACUUUAAUUUACAUAAAAAAAAAAAAAAAAAUUAAAAAAAAUGAUAUAAUAAAAAAAAAAAAAAAAAAGAUAAAAUUUAAAAUUAAUGAUAAAAAAAAAAAAAAAAUUACAUAAAAAAAAUUAAAAAAAAAUAAAAAAAAUUUAAAAAAAAAAAUAAAAAAAAAAGUACAAAUAUUUUACAAUGAUGUAAACUAAUAGUAUUCAUUGGUCGGGUGGUGCUUCAGUAGUAGGCGGGGCUUCAGCAGUCGGCGGGGCCACAGAAGGAGGAGGCAGCAGAGGUUGAUCAGUUGGAUCUUCACUACGCGGUGCCGCUCCAGAAGACGAAGGCAGAUGCGGUUGGAACAAACCCACAAACCUCCGAUGAUCAAGUAAAAUUUGACCAUCGGUGUCCUGCAUCUGGUCAAUCUUCCUCUUCAUGUUGGUAGCAUAGCUGUGUGCGAGCUUGUGCAAUUCCUUAUUCUCAUGCUUGAGCCCUUUAAUCUCUUGCUUGAGACUCUGUAUUUCAGCCACCAAGGAUUCAACGUGACGGGUUCGGGCAUAUAGGCGUUGGGCCAUGUUGGAUACGGAACCCGCACACUGCACGCUAAGAGCCAGAGACUCCUUAACCGCCAAUUCAUCAGAUCGUCUAGCGAGCAGUCUGUUAUCUCUUGGGGUGACAAGGUUCCGGGCCACCACCGCGGCUGUCAUAUCAUUUUUCAUCACCGAAUCCCCCACGGUAAGGGGACCGGUAGGGGAUAUGAAGGAUGGGCGCCAUAUGUUGUCUGGUGAAGGCGGAGCUGCCUCUUCACCAAUGUUCAAGUCAAAACGACGAUCGGAAGGGCCAGACAUUUUUCAGAGGUGGUGAAGAAAGAAGAGAGUCGGACUGAUUAAGAUUUUGGAAGUGCAAGAAGGGAGUGUUUACAGGAGGAAGCUCAAGUGUGUUGUGGAACAAAAUUAACGCCUCUAUAAAAAGAAGAAAUCAGAGAGGCGCUCCUCAGAAAUCGAAGAAGCGUCCUCUCGCAAAUCGAAGAGUCGGGGCUCCGUUCUCAAAAGCCGGAUUCUUUUCUCAAAAGAGGCGUUGCAUUUCUCAAAAGCUGGGCUUGCUCAGAAACCACGAGCCGAAUCCCGGAUUUCAAAAGAUCAAUUUGUCCAGACGUGUCGUCACUUGUCACACGUAAAUUGCUUUGCGAAAAUCUCGGGCAGUUUGUCGAAGCACCAAUUCAGAAAUCGAAGAGGGAAAUUCAACAGUUAAAGACACGCUAGCUUUCUCAAAAGCUGGGCUUCAACCCACGGGCAAAUCUUCUUUUCCAGAUUUAUCCGCACGUGUCACAUGCUACCUUUACAAUCGACGAUGCUCAGAGCUCGAAGCGCCGAUUCCAGAUAUCAAUGAGGAAUCUGCUUUGCGGAAAUUACGGGCAGCUUUGUCAGAAAGCGCGUAAUUUGUACUAUUCAUCCAUCCACCGGCUGCCGACAAUGAGUGAGAGAACAGUUCCGGUUGUGAAGACAAGUCCUAUAAGUUUCUACCUUCGCCUUCCACAGCAAAAGCACACUCUCUCAGCACACCCUUUUAACACUUCUUCAUAUCCGAAAAUGCAUUCCCAAAGAAUCCUCUCGAGUCACUCUGUGUUCCUCAUUCCUUGGGAUACUCCUGCGAACAACCCAUUCAAAGCAAAAGUAUUUCAUAUCAUAAAGGUUGAAAGCAAGAGUAUCUCAUAUCAUGCUUUCUCCAUAUCCUUCUCCUUGUCUUUGUUUUCCGACAAGGAGAAAGAGAGCAAUCAGCCAGCAUUUGGUAUCAAUCUUCCGAUCUGGAGCCAACUGCCUGGAACCCCUUCCUGAUUGCUUACCUAGCCUUGCUCUCGAGUACUCAUCUUCAUCAUUUUAUGCUUUCUCUUCGUCUACCACAUCUGCCUGGGGGACAGUAAGGGAAGUGAAAAUGAUACCUCGAAGCAUGUGGAGACAAUUCAGCUAGGAACAAGGAGAAAGAAAGCAAAAGGUGGGCACUUGGAAAGAUUGAAGAAAGAAAUAAGGACCAACACCUUUCCCUUGUGCCUGCCCGUUGUGCAGAAGAAACAAGCAGAGAAGAAUGCAGCUUGCACAAUCAUCCCAGCGGAAGGAGUCCGAACUGAGGAACUAGAGAAGCUGCCACAUCUGCUUGGAGAACAAAUAAGGAACUGCAACAUUCCCAAAGAGCAAAGCUCCGCCGUACAAUAUCAUCAAAUAGUAAAAAGCUAAGUGUCACCCUGUUCAAGAGGAAAGCUGUGGAAAGUCAACAAGCACGACCAAUGAUUACUUAUUAGUUUUAUUCAUUAUCUUUUAUCGUAAUUUUCAAUUUUUCGUUUGCAAUUUUUUUUUUUAAUUAAUUUUCUUGCGUACUUAACUGAAUUAUUUCUUUUCUUUGCAGGAACUUUUGGUUAUUUCCACCCUUGAAGUUGAUUGCAGAAUUUUAGCUUGGGGGUCAUCGCUUGAUUUUACUGCAAAUUAGGGAAGUUUUCAGUCCCAUUGUUUUAUUUUGUUUCUUAUUAUUUAUUUAUUUAUUUUAUUUUUAUUUGCGUUAUAGUGUUUUCUGACAUUGGGGACAAUGUCAAGUUUAAGUGUGGGGGUAGAAAUCUCUAGAAUUUCAUUUGUUUCUGUGUUGUUAGUUUUUGUUUUCUUAAAAAUAAAAAAUAAAAAAAUAAAAAAAAAAAAAUCCAAAAAUUUAAAAAUCCAAAAAUAUUGUCUUGUUUCCCUUAUUGUUCUGAAUCAGAUUUUUGUUAGUUUCCCGACCCAAUGAUAUAAUUGGAUCAAAAAUUUGAACCAUGAUCAUCAAGAACUUAGUUAACAUGUGUUUGGUGAAAUUCCUAAUUCUCUUGUUAGUUUUGUACAUGUUUGACCAUCUUUGAAAAACCAAAUGCACAUAGCCUUGUUAAUGUGAAACUAAAGUAUGACUUAAAGCUUCAUAUGUGAAUUUAGUGACCAUAUACAUCCUAUGUGAGUUUUUGAGCCUAUUGAAAGUGUGCAUUUUUCAUACACUCCUAUUCUUUCAUGUGUGAUGAACUUAUGUGAGAUACAUCUCUAGAACUUGCGUAACGAUCUUUCGAAAUGUUUGUCAUUGAUUGCAUGAACUUGGAAAUGAUAGAGACAUUAGGUUUACCACUAUGGCCCAAAUAACUAUGUUUCCCAAAGAAAAAUGAUAUCAUUAGAUUGCCAAUUUGAGCCGUGUAUGUUGAGCCUUUUAUUUCUUAUCACCAGAUAUGUCUACCCUUAUGCCUGAAACAUUUUUUUCCUUACCCUUUCCAAGUGAGCAAUGUGAGAUUGUCUUAUGAGAAAUGUUUGUGAAGUACUUUGAAGGUGUUUGGCAAAAGAAUAAGUGUGGGGGUAUUUCAUGUUUGUAUAAAAAAAAAAUAAAAAUAAAAAAAAAAUAAAAAGAAGAAAAAAAGAAAAGAAAAAGAAAGAUUGUAUACAAAGAAAAUAAAAAGUUUUUAAAGUUUCAGUUUAAGGGUAUGGUUGGAGGUGCUAGAAGAAUCGCUGAAAAAAUUGAGUUCUUAUAAAUCUAAACAAAAGAAUUGCUUGCAAUAUAGCUUGGAACUUGUGUUUUCCUAUUCUUUCAUUUCAAUAACCCUAUCCCUAAGCCUCAUUACAUCCAAUAAAAGUCCUCUUGAUUUAAGUUUUGCAAUUAUGACUGUGGAGAAGUGAUCUUUAUGCAAGCUUAUGGUAGAAAUUUCACAUUUGAUUCUUUGAGCGAAACACAUUAAAACUAAACACAUGUGUGAUUGAGUGCAUAUCCCGUGAGAAGGUCGCUAGUUUGCAUAUGAUGAUUUUAAAAAUAAAAACUUGAAAAUUGCAUUAGCAUGGCUAUCUCACACACUACACUUCAAGGAUGAUUUAAAGAUUACUGCUAAUAUUUGAAUAAGGAAGAUGAACUUGGAUUAUUUCCUUGAUGCUAGCUAUGGUUCUUGAUGAUUUGUUUUUCUCGAAUGAAAUUCUAUGAGGGUCACAUAGGGGGAAGCUAAUGUUUUUCUUGUUACUUCUUGUUCUAGUUUUCUUUGUUUUGCUCGAGGACUAGCAAAAGUUAAGUGUGGGGGUAUUUGAUCGGAUGAUAUUUAUAUAUAUUUUUACUUCGAAUUCACUCGUCUUUUCUUAGUUAGUUCUUUAUAUAUUUUUGAGCUAUUUACGUUAUUUUUGUGUUUAUAGGAUUUGUUAUGCAAAGAAAAUAAAAAUAGAACAAGUGAAAUUUUAUGUAAUAAAUUCGUCAAAACUGUCUGUGUAGAUCAGCUUUUAAAUAAAAUUAAAAAUAAAUAUAUAUAUAAUAAUAAUAACAAGUCAUGAUGAUGUUUGAAACAUCAUCAUGAUUCAUGUUUUUUGUAGAAGAAGAAAGGAACGGCAAAGAAAAAAGAAAAGAAAGAAAAGAAAAAAGAAAGGAAAAGGAAAAGAAGGAAAAGGAAAAGAAGAAAAAAAAAUAUAAACAAGCAGAAAAAGGGAGAGAGAAGCAGCAAGCAGACAGCUGCCUUGCGGCAGCAGAAAGAGGAUAGAGAGAAGUGGGAGCGGGAAAAGUCAGUGGAAAGCAGGAGAGACAGCUGGGAGCGCAGUAGGCGCAGAGAAUGUGGUGGACAGCAACAGAAAAAAAUAAAAUAGAAAAAAAAGAAAUAAGGAGGAGGUCAGGAGCAUGAGGAUAUAGACGGGAUUGGCAGAAGAGAGAAUAAGGGGGGGAAUUGGUGGAAGGCAGAGGGCUGCCCUUUGGGCAGCGUGAAGCUGCGGAGAGAAGGGAAGUCAGUGGCGAGGAGGACAGGAGGUCAGCAUGAAAAUGCAGUUCAGAGUCCAUGCAGUUCAGAGUCCAAGCAGCAGAUCCUUUCUUUCGGUUUAAUCUUUCCAAACUCCUAUUUUAUUUUUAUUUUAAUAAUGUGUAAUUAAUUUUAUUUUGGCUAGAGGUUAAUUCGAAACCAUGAAUAUAUUUGUAAUAUGAAUUGAUUACCUUCGGUUGUGAUUUCAUAAGUUGUGAUUUCAAUUUACUUAUCCGUUCGUAUAAAAACUGAUUUGUGUAUGUUGGUUGAGAGUGCACGCUUAAUUUACAUGCAUGAAUUUGAUGCUAGAAUAUAAGUGAAUUUCACCUAAUCGUUAUGAACUUAUUUUCACAAGUAGUAAAGGUUGCUAGUCACAAUCACGUUAAGUAAAUUCUUGGCAAGAGUAUCAUGCUUUUCAUAGUUACGAAUGCCUCGUCAAUGCUUAUAGUUUUCACAAAGUUUAAUGAUCUUUGAUUGUAUCGCUAUUGUGCUUUUCACGUAGGGGACUUUUGAAGAAUGUUUUGAAUUGUUGUAUGCGUUUUUCCGUCCAAUUCAAUAACUUAAGGAAAACUUGAAGAUUAAAAAAGUGCUAUUCACGGUUAAUCUGGAGUAUUGAGAUUCAAAAUUUAUUAAAUGAACAACUGGAAAAUCAUUUUGUAUGCAAGUAUAACAUGUGUGGAGAAUAACCAUCUAGCUAGUCCGUCAUUUAUCUUUUCAUUUUAAUUUCAUGUUUUUUGUAAAUUCUGUAAUUUAAUUAAGUUUAAUUUACUUUUCAUCAAAACCAAACACCCAUCCAUUGUUAAAUUAUAUUAUUUAGUUAGUUUUCUUUAUUGUUAGUCUUUUAAUUUAAUUUCCGUCCAUUUCAGUUCCUAGUGUUUAAUUUGAUUGUUUUCAUUAUUUUGAGUCAUUCUAAGUGUGUUUCGAGUUAUUAGAGUUUUUAGCCUAGUUUUGUGUCCUUGAGUCUUGUUUAAUAUUUUUAAUAGAUUAGCAAUCCCUCCUAAUCCCCGGCCUAGAACGAUACCCUACUUACAUCUAUACUACAAUUGUCAAAAAGAGGGUUUAAUUUUGUGUGUUAACUUAUUUUACGCAUCAGCGAGCAUCAACUUUAGCCCAUCAUUUAUGUAUCGAGGAGCGAGCCCUUAUUCUAUAAAAGGGACUCCCUCACCUUCAACGCCACAAGCCGAGCCAACCAAGGCAACAUAAGCCACAAGCCGAGCAGCCUCGCAACAUGUGCUACUUCUAGUUGAUCAUCAUUUCACAUUGAGCAUCGCCUCAUAUCGAGUAUCAAUUCUAGACGACAUCUAGUUACUUCGGCCCACACAUGGACUGAAUUUCAAGUCUCCAGCUAAAAGACUCUUUUGACUGAAGACUUGGGGGACUACUGUUUGUACCAUAUUUAGGGUCUCCGUAUUUAGACCUCGUAUAAAUACUCGGGAGACUCAAAUAUAAUGUAAUAAAUGAAGGGGCAAAUAUGUAAUAAGUGAAGAGCUCUUAUUCUAUAAAAGGACUCCUCAUUCUUCUCAUUAGGAGAGGUCAAUGUUUAGGCCAUGGGUAGAGAGAAAACAUCUCAGAGAGGGCAAACACAGAAAAUAGGCUAGAGAGCACACUACCUCUAGCCUUCUUGUACAUUCACCAUUUAGAGUGAAACAAUAUCAACAUCAGUGUGGAAGUAGCCCAAACAUUGGGGUAAACCACGAUAUAUCUUGUGUUCUUUACUUUCUUGUAUAUUCACGGUCGGAUUUACGUUGUUCUAAGACCCCUUCGAUUUUGUGCAUUAACACAUCAUAAUCCCGGAUAAUAUAUGGAGACGCUUGAGAAGGGGAGGAUUGAAACCAUCAUUGUUCGGCCAUUUUUCUAAAUUUUGUAAUCUCCCAACAAUGAUCCAUGCAAAAAGGAUGUCGUACCUUCUCAUGUUACAUUUUUUUUUUGCAUUAUUUAUCUAUGCAUGAUAUUUUUUUUUUUUAAGAAAAGGUUUAAGUUAGCUCACAAAAAUGAAACAAGUAAUUUGUGCAAGUAACUAGUAAAAAUAUAAUUAAAUAAUAUCACCUUAUCUGACAGACCCCGACCUGGGAUGUCCACUAAGAUUCCGAAUCGAGUUGUGAUGGCCGACACCUGGAAGGUGACGAAAGCCAUCAAGUGUAGUGAUGUGGAAAAUGUGAAUAAAUUUAAAACCUAAAAGUGCUUGAAUACAAGAGAGCGAUGUGAGAGGGAAUGAACCCAAUUCACAUGUGAUGAUAGAGCAUAAGUACAGUACAGUAAAACAGGGUGAGAAAUUAUACCAUCAAAGGUAACUGUCCACCCUAAGAUUUGCCAAGAAUCCUCGUCGGCACGAGAGCAUAGCUACUAAACCUGGAGGGGCGAAAAACAAGGGUGAGUGGGCCUAAAAAUAAAGUUUUAAUUAAAAACCUUUUGAAAAUGUUAUAACCCCUCACCGUAAAACAUGUAUAGUUUCUAAAAUAUACAUACUAUGUAUAGUAUGAAAAUACUUACCGUAGCUUGCAAAACGUAAAUAAGGCAUGCUAUCCCAAAAUCCCAAAAUCUCCACAGUAAUAUAAGUAAAAUUAGGUGCUCAAUACCCUAUGCUAGCACAUUAGUCGGAGUCGCCUAAUGUGACCUAUAUGACUGAACCUGUUGCUCAUCCAUCUAUGCUGACACACGGGUCAGAGUCACCUAAUGUGACCUGUACGACAGGACUAGGUGUAAUAAUAUACGUUCUAGUGCUACAAUCACGUGAAGACUAGCGUUAUUCACUGUCACAUACGAGUCGGAAUUGCAUAUUCCAAUCUGUACGAAAGAACUAGCACCUACUUGGAUCCAAGGCGAGCGUGCGGUGCUGAUGCGAACAACACGUGAAAGACUAGCCUGGCCCUAGGUUGAGCAUUAACACCUAGGUGUAGCAAUGAUGAGUAUACUAUAUAAAUAUAAGCAUGCCAUAACCAUUCAAUAAUUUUAAUCAACAUACUAUCAUUCAUAGCCGUAAACAUAAUUAUGACAUCAAUAAUCAUACCAUACAUGUGCAUCCCGUAGGAUGUAGCAUAUUUCAUAAGUUCCGUCAUUUCACUGACUCUUAUAAACUUUAGUCAAAUCCAGGCGUACGUAAGGAAUUCUUUUUCGAUUGCAUAAAUGGAAACUACCAAUCAUAUAUAUAUAUAUAUACACACACCACACACUAUAAAAAGGAAAAGACCCACUCACCUGGAGUCGGCAUUACAACUCCCUAGCACGAAUAUCAAUGCGUCACGAACGAUCAUCGCCUAGAACAAUUAUCAAAUCAUGUCUCAUAAUUCUUAUCAAUAGAAUGUAACUUACAUAAAACAUAUCCCCAAGGACGUUCUAAAAUGAUUGAAACCCAUUGACCAAAAAUCAAUUGUUGGUCAAAGGUCGACGGCAGGGUCCACAACCCUACAUAACUCGAUCCGGAAGAUCCACACCUCAGAAUUCUGAUUCGUAACUUCCAAAGAUCCAUAUUAUGCUUCUAGACCAUCAUUCUAAAGUUUCAUUAUGAUCCAACGGUUGAAUCUCCGCUAAUUGCAAAUUCAAGUGACAGUUAAUGUUUUAUUUUAUGAGCUUACAAAUCCAAUUCGGGAAGAUCUGUACGUCGAAUUCCCGAUCUGUAAGUUUCUAAUAUCCUCAAAUAUUACAUACUAUAACGUAUGAAAGUUUGGUGACAAUCCAAUGGUUGAAUCAUUGAUUCAUAUAAGGAUCAAGUGACGGUCUCUAUCAAAACUAUGUUCAAACGAUAAGAUUUCAUCAAUUGGACUUCACCUAUGGAAUUGGGGUAUCAAACUAAGCCUAGGAAGGUCGGGGGGUGCCUCGGCCCACCCGCCGCCACACACGGCGAUCGACCGCCCUGACUUGCCGAAAAAUCAACUAUUUCUAAAAAGUAUCAAACUUCACAGAAAUGAAGAUUUCAAUGAGUAUAGCAAGUUUUAUACAUGUGGCCAAGUCCAAUUUGGCGGAAAAAACCUCAAAUCGCAACAAACCCGUUGGAAACCCCAUAAUGGGUGUUCGUCGAUUCGACUUCUCCGGUGUUCCAACGCCCCUAUCACCGGUUAGGUCUUGUUCCUGGGUCUAAGGGGAGUUGAUUAAGGGUAGUGGUAGGUGGUGAAACUCGCCGGAUCGAAGGAAUCACCGUCGAGCACCUCCGGUGCUCCGAUGAGGUUCUACACGAUUUUGGACCUAAAACCUUUGAAUUUGGGUAGAGAUGGUAGAGGGAAGGUUGAGGAAGAGGUUGUAGGUGAUGGAUGGUGAUGAUUCGACGGAAAGAAUGGCGAAAAUAGCUAGAAUGGAGUCGGGUUGGUGCACGGGUGCACAUGCGACAGGAAGGUUGGGCUUUCCCUUUUUUAUUAGUUGUUGCCCUCUUUUCUCAAAUUCUGAUUAGUCCACCACUCUUUUAUCUGAUUGGUCACUUAACCAAUAAUCUGAUUGGCCUCUUUCUCACAAGGUGGGAGUUUAAUUCAUUUCUAAUCUAAAAUUUAAUAAAACAACUUCAAAUGUCCGUAACUAUACCGUUAAAACCCGGAUUCGCAAACGGCUUUUGCCUAUGUGCUCAUAGUGACAAGUAUUACGAGGAUAUGCUAAAAUAAUGAGUCAUACGUCUCUUUAACCGAUGGUCAACGAAAGUCAAAAUAUUUGCCUCUAAGGGCAUUUUCGAAAAAUCACUAUUUUAAAAUUUAUAAAACUUAAAAUUUGGGACGGGUUGUUACAUUAUCGAAAUCACUUGUCCCACUUUCUUGUGACACGCUCACUAAAUUUGGUAAAUUUUGAGUUGUUUGUAUUAUACCAUUGAGAUCUAAGACUUUUAGCACCUCAUUUUUCUCCUAUGUCAGCCAUGAUUUUGUUGAAUGCCUCAAAAAUGCGUUCCCAAAAUUUCAUCAAAGCUUGGCCAUUUCUAAUAAUAGGAUAUUCACUAAUUGCUUUAAAAUCAUAACAUAGAGCAACAUUGCUUCAACUGAGUAAUUUCCACCCUUGGUUGGAGCCUUCCUUGAACCCACCAUUGAUGGAUAAAAUAAAUCAACAAAAAGAACAAAUUAAAUUGUAUGAAAUGAGAGAAUUGAGUAUAGAAAAUGAAGUUGUGGUAAAUUUUGGUUAUAUGAAAAUGGUAUUUAUAUGGACCAUUGAUCAUAAGCAAUGGUAAGAACAAAAACUCAUAACCUUAAAAUAAUGUACUUAACCAGGGGUAUCAUAGUUGCCUGAAGGCACAUCCAUCACUCGAGGGUAAAGUUGUACGACACUGGGUUACGCCAGUGAAGAAAUAUGGUAGGUCCCAUCGCCGAAGGUGAAAUUGUACGACUCUGGGUUAUGCCAAAGGAAAUGUAACAUAACACAUUGACACUAGCCGUGGCUAGUGAAGCUGUUCGACACUGGUUUCACCAGUGAAGCUGGGAAUAUGUCAUAAAUAUCUCACUACUCAUAUACUGUGUCUUAUGGCCGUAGACAUAUACAUACUCGUGUUGUGUGUAUGUGUGGUAUGAUUACCCAUUAAUAAGCAUAGAAAACAUAAAUCACAUUCUCGUAUCAAAUCAUCGGAGUUCAAAAGCUCAAAGCAUCAUCUCAUAAACCAUAUUCAUUGAUCCAUCUCGAAAGGCGUAAAAGCAAUAGCUCAUAAAUCUUUGUAAGAUGUAAAUUCAAUAAAUCAGAAACAUUUCAUAAAACAUAAGUUUGAUAAAUCAUAAAUGUUUGGGAAAAUUGAGUGUGGAUUUGGAAUCAGGGCAUCGAAAUACCCCAAAGAGGGGUCUCAGGCAAAUUUCAUAAAAAGUCAACGAAAAAGUCAACCGAGUCGCCAAGGCAGUCAACUACGUUAAAACUUCAUAAUUUCACUAAAUGGAUACUAAAAAUGGACUAGGGGCAUCAAAAUUAGUCUAGAAGGAUUCCCUAGAAAAUUUUGUAAAAGCCAACACAAGGAAUAUUCAGUUGCUGGUAGCCGAAAUCUGGGUAAACUUGCCUGAUUUUUCGGAAAUUUUUUCAAAUAGCCAUAUCUCUCUCAUUUCUCAUCCAAAUUCGACCCAUAAUAUAUCAAAACGAAGCUAGAGAAGAGUAAAACAAGAUUAUACCUAUUUAGAAGCCAAAAAAUGGUCGGAGUUGGCUGGUAAAUGCCUGCAAAAGUCAUGGUUCUCAUAAAAAAACUAGGGAAAGUUCAAAUUGAUAUAACUUCUUCAAUGCUUAACAAAAUCGAGUGAUUCAAAAAUGAAAAUCAUACCUCUCUACGAAACGAAGAGAAUGGUACCUUUCUUGAUGGCUAACUCACCAUGGAUUGACUAAAAAAUGGCUCAGAAGCCGUCGGAUCCUUCGUAAAAAAGCUAUGGAAGAGUCCCUUUGCCGUUUCUGGGUUCAUGGGUCGCCAAAGUGCAAGGGAGGUGAUGGUGGUGUUUGUUGCUGUUGUUGUGAUUGUAUGAGAGAGUGUGUGGAUGUGUGUGUGUGCUCAGAGAAUAAGAGAGAGUGCAGAGAGAUAAGGGAGAGAGAAAGGGAAAGAGAGUGAAGAAAGAAAAUGAGUGACGGGAAGAGAGGGAACUGGGGAACAAUGAAACAUAUGUGGGCCCUGGUGGCUCAUAUAACAAGGCCAAAAUAGACAAAAUAGGAAAAUAUCCUGCGAACGUAAAAUUAUUGAAAUACCCUUAACGUUUCGCAUUCUGUAAAAUUAAGGACGAGUUAUUACAUCAUUUUUCUAAAUGAAUGUCACCAAUGGGGCUUUUGAGCUUUUUAUGCGCCCACAAGCUUAUAUGUGUUUCACCUCAGUACUAUUUACUUCGAAGUUAGCUUACUUCUGAAAGAUUGACAGAUUAAACUAUAUUAUGCAAUUAGGAAGCAAAUGAUGAAAAACUCCAAGUGUUUUUACUCUAACAGUGAAAUUGAUUUUACCAGCACGAAUUACCCCUCAAUAAUUAAAUUUGGAAUCAUAUUGUCAGCGACCAACAACCUCACUUCUAGGAUGCUAAUUAAUCUCUAGAAACACGAGCUUUUUUAGGUAUGACCAAUUCCCAAUCAAGACUAGUCAAGUGAAACGGUAUUAAUUCUUCCACCUCUCUUUAGCCGAAUAAUCAUAGACACGUUCACUAUUCAUUUCUUAAGUUUUUCGCUUGGGUGACUAUGUUGCAUGUUUACCUUUUGCGGAUUUGAUAAUAUAUUCCUAUCACCCACCUCGUCUCAAGCCCUGCGUGAAGAGAUCUGGAGUAAUUUUGAGAUCGAUUAUCUAUUUAAUAAAUCAUCUCAAGUUGUGCAACUUCGUUUGUCAUGUUAUAUCCCUCUCGACAUACGAAUAUUACACAAGUCACUUUUUAAAGGAUAGCAAAACACAUAAGUUAAGGUCACUACGAAGAAAACCAUUUCUCCAUAGUUACCAAUAUGAGUUUUUUCAUCGCCCCGGCUUGGAUUUUCCCUUAUAAUUGAGCUCUAGGAUUAAGAAAUCACAUGAACGUAGGUUUGAGAACUACCUGACUUGAAUAUUGAUGUUCAACUUGAGAAGUUGUUCAUGUGCUAUUUCUCUUCACUCUUUUAUACGCUUUUUUCCGUCUUUGUUAUUUAGUUUAUUGCUCGUGUGCUAUCUUUUUCCUUUUCUCCAUAUGACAAUCUUUGACUGAUUAAUAAAAAUAAUUUUCUAAUAGAAUGUAAAAAUAGUUUGUGUCCUUGAGUGCGGCCAUUCCUGAUGAUGGCCGUAGAUAGGAAGCCCAAAGGCUGAAUGAUUAGGCGGGUUUACAUAAAGAUCAUAAAGUAAGAGUUUAGAGCGCCAAAUUCACGGUGUAACGGCGGCAGGAUUUUUUCACGUACUUCCUUUCAUUUUGGAGGUUGGAGAUGUUAUAGUGCAAAAAGGGGAAAAAAUAAAAAUCUAAAACCAAAAUUCAAAUACUCGUGCAAUAUGCGAGAGUCGGUACUCACUGGGAGUCUUGUGAACUCCGCACUCUGCAACUCUCUGACGUUUCCUUCCAACAAUGGCUUGAGGACGACGGUCCUUGAUAUUGACGCAGCCGAAGAAUUCGACUCUCUGCGAAGAGACGCGUCCAGAAACUCGCUCAGCAACGCGUCAACUCCGCUUCCACUUAGUUGUUCUUCGUCCAUCCUCCUCAUCAUUAAUCCUAUUACAGUGACCGAAUCAAAACCGCCAGUGUCCUGCACCAGUCUUUCUUGCCAGAACAAUGACAUCAACAACUGCAAGCUAUCCGUGAGUUCUCUCCCUGCUCCCAAACCCGUUUCUCGUAAAUUACUCUUUUACCUACAGAGGUGUAUAAAAUCGUCAUUUUCCCAUCUAUUGUCUUAUUUUAAGAGUAUCUAGGGAUUUAGUGAUCCUAAUAAUUGAAGUGUUCCUCUUAUUUUCUUGAAUAAUCGAAAUUGAUUAACUAUGUUUUUCUUUGAUUUUUUUGAAUAAAAUUUAAAAAUUUAACCUUUAUCUGUGUAAAUGUUUGUUUUGAAUAUGCAACCAAUGACACAGGUAGCACCUUUGUUCGAACAGAUACUUUAGAUUUAGUGUACCUCAUCAGCCCAUGUAAACUCAACUCGAAUUUGACCACCACCUUACCAAUUAUCCUUUACACUUUACUUCCGAAGUUCUCUGAAAACAUUUCUCUUUUUGCUGUUUAAGUGUUAAAAAUAACCUUUCCAAGAAAAAGUAGCUGUAUUGUAUAACCAUAUUAUGACAUGCUUCAUCUCGCUAUGCUUACUUUUAUCGAGCAUGAUAGUGGUCUUAAAAAGGACUUAUGCUUUUAUACUUUAAUAGUUCUUCACUUUGAAUAUCGAAAACGAAUCAAGGAUUAAAUGCCCCACCUUGACAAGAUCACCAAUGGAUUAAUUUUCCAUUCUUCACUUUGAAACCUUUUCAAUGUCUAUUUUAUUUCGGCCUGGUUAUGCAUUCUCUUCUACCUUGCUGAAUUCUUAUAGUUAGGUUACUGGCUAACUUCUAGGCUACCUAUCUCUAUCUCUUGUUACUCUUUUCUAUCACAAGAAUAAUUAGGGAAACGACAAAAGAAUUAACCGAAGAAUCACGCUGGUUACAUAUUUUAUUUUAUGCUCAGCGGAAAUAAUUGCUGCAAAAUCAAUUUUCCUUCUUGAUCCAAGUGUCAUUUUUUGGCAUGUUUAAGAAUGUACAUUGCACCAGACACUUGUUCUAAACUCUCUGUUUUACGUAUCACCAUUAUUAUUCCAUGUUUGGUCACCAAAGCGUUUACCUAUGAUCAGUACGGUCUAAGUUCGAUCCAAACAUAUCCCACUCAAUACGCCACUGGUAUUGCAAAAGUAGAAUCGUGUUUAUCCCUACUGAUUGUCACCUUCCACCCAAGCCACUUGGAAAAUGCAUUAUUGUUUCUCUUCAUAUUCUUUGUAUGGACCUUUUGAGAAACGUGGACAUUUGUGGGAUGAAGCCCCAGGCAGACUUAAUAGUGCUUGAAACUGCAGGUUAUGGAUGUUUCCUAACCUUCUUUAGUCAUUCUGCAGAGAAAGUUCUUAUGAGACAUCUAGUGUUAUGUGAGGUAAUAACUGUUGCCCUUUCUAGAUUGUUUACUUCGCACUGGUCGUCUUAUGAUACAUUUAGUGGUUUACGUUUUAAAUUGGCACCUCUUUGAUUAUUUGACAUAUCACAAUUCUUUAGCGUUUGUGUUUGAAUGUUCACCAAAAUGUUGUAUUGGCUUUUCCAACUUUGUUCAUCAAUUUGAUACAUUGUUAAAAAAUCUGUUACACUAAGAAGUACUCUCUCCUUGUCCACCGUGCUAUUGCUGACUUGGCCAUCUGUUGUUCCGACCUCGAGGUAAAGGUAUACGCUAGGUUAUUUAGUAUCAGUUUCAGUUUGGAUGCAUAAUGUGAUAUUGUUGGUAUGAGUUGUCCUUUCUUUUGCCAAGUCAGUUUUUUCGUGUGGGUUUUUUACAUAUUAUGAAGUGAUAAAAAUCUUUGCAUAACAUAGCCAAAUUGGUGAAAAAAGAGAUUAACAGAAAAUAGGCUACAAGUAUGUCUUCUAUGUUUUAGAAUGUAAGCUCCGUGAAGGUAAUAUUGGUGCUCAUAUUAUAGGUAUUUUUUCCAGUUCAGAAUUGUGUUUAGUAGUGACAGGUCUUCUAAAUUUCUACAACAUCUUUCAUAUUUUUCUUCUAAACUUUUAGCAGUGUUAUUUUUUUAUGUUGGUUUCUAUGUGUUAUAUUUAGUGUCUUCAUGUCCAGCCCAACAAUAAUUGAGAAUCAAUAGCAUACGCUAGUUGUAUUGAAUCGCUGAAUAGCUCUUUGUGUGGCCAUGAUUUCAGCGAGUAGGUGUUAGGUAUAUUUAAAUCUGCAUAGGAUACUCUUCCUCUCAUUUGUAGGAGUGUUAUAUGCAAGACUGUGUGUGAUAUUAUUUACAUUUUCUUUCUGGUGGUCCUGAUAGUGUUGACGGAUAUAUACUCUCAUUUUGUUCACACCCAUGAAUAUUGGAAUUUUGCCUUUUAAUGUGUGAUCAAUUUUUCACUCAAUUAAUAUCUCUCUCUUCUAAUGUUUUAAUAAUUUAUUGCAGGCGACGGCGGGGAGCCCGUCUCUCCCGCAGUAUGAUAAAUGGGAUGGUGCAAAAGACUUGAGCAAGUAUAGGAAUUUCUUCGAUGUGUCUUGACUUCUUUUCCUGUACCAUUGAGUCAUAUUUAAAGAGUCCUUUCAUAGAACCUAGGUGCCCUAGUGGCAUUUGAGUACCUUUCUACUGUUUAUACAAGUCUUUGGCUGGGUUCAUUGAUCCUUUGACAUACCAGGUCGCUAUUUGUGUAGGUUUAUUAAUUAAAAGCGUGUAAGAUACAGUAAGAAAUUGCCAAAAUUAGGACAACAUUAAGGUGGGCGGCUUCUCAUUGAGUCGAUUUAUCUAGGCUAAAUGCACUAUUCUUCUUCAAAUGUGAAUAUGGUUAUAUGUGUUGCAAAUGUCAGAAACUUAAUCCAAGAAGUUUUGGAGGACAGAGUAAGACAUUAUAGGUAAGACACUUAUGGCUUAGUAAGUUCAAGUGUAAACUGCGAUUGAGAUCUAUAAGCAAAAUAUAUAUAGAUGUGGAGUGAGACAUUGAUAGGGAGAGAAAGUAGUAGGAGAAAUAUCGGUGGAUGCUCUUAUGUUGUUCAGAGGAACCAUUGCAAAUUGGGAUGUGCCGUCGGAUGGCUUCGUGGGUCGAUGCAGAUUUUUAGCAGCAGAAGAACUAUUAGGUUGAAUUUAAUACAUUAAAGAUCCAAUUCCAGAUCAAUAAGGUUGUAUAAAGAAACACAAUGGUAUAUUUCAUAUUGGGUGUUUCUGAGAAUGGGAAUAACGAGAACGUAUUACAGUAGAGAUGCUUCCAUGGGAUUGGGAAAUUAAUCUGCAAAACCAUUUUCCAAAACUUUUGCCUUAGAUUGGACCUAAUACAAUUUUCUGGCCUAUUGCUGUUGAUCUUGUGUCGUGGCGACUCUUGGCCUGUUCUUUAUAAUACAAUGUGCUCCAAUUGCGUUCAUGCCUCGGCGAAUUGGCCUCAUAAGUGCUGUAUUGAAUUCGUUAGUAGGGAGAGUUAAUUUGCAUAAGAAAUAAUGUAACUCAUUUCUUCUUAAGCAGAUGAUUCGACUUGGGAUGGACAUCGUUCAUCAGAAUAGGUUAACUUGUCUGUUAUGUCGCUAUUUCUUGUCUAAAUAUCUGUCACUUUUUUUAUAUUCAGUAGAUUUGAAUUUAACAGAGUCAGUUCUGAUGCAUUUUUAGUUAUUAUAAUAUAUUUGUUUUGUAAAUUCUUUUCACUUUGAUUGUUUUUUGUCUCACAUGUGGUGGUCAAACAAAAGCGGUUUACAAUUGUAUCCUCACGUAAAUGGACCAUUCAUCUUGAAUGGCCUAGUAACAAUCAUCCCCUAUGAUGUGUCCCCUAAAUACAGAAUCUACUAUUGGCAUCAGUUUAAAUAGGAUAAAACAUCAAUGUAUGUUCCCUUAUACUUUUCUUUUACUAAAAAACACAAUUAUAUUUUUGAUCAUCACUCUGUCGAAUACAGAGUAUGUGGCCGGAAUAUCCUCAUCCACCACCAUUUCUCUAUGUUUUAAAGCCCUAGAUAUUAGAAAUAAUGAUUUUCUAUUAGAUAUGUGGCAAAUGAUUUGGUGUGAAAAGUUCUAAAGCCUGGAGACAUUGAGACAGAACAAUCGGAACUCUGUGUGUCUUCAUUCUUUAUUAUUUUCAAAGGUCAUAAUUAAUAGGUCGUUUAAUUUUUUAGAGAUGCUGUUAUUUACCAUCCAACUCUAUGUUACCUAAAACACAGUCUUUGUGGUACAUUGGAAUGAGAAUGUAAUUUCGUGGUACACCAGUUGCUUUGACUGCAUAGAACCAUUUGCUACUUGUAAAUGGUAGAAUGUGAAUGAAUAAACUAAUACUCUUUUUUUUUUCUGAGUAACUGUCCUUCACAUUUCUAACAAACCUAAGAUAGAAGGUAUGUGUUUUCCAAUUUUUGGGAAGGGAAGAAAAUAUUAACCUAGUUUUCAUUAUGCAGAUUGUAUACUACAAUAACAUUGUUCUUUGAACAUUUCCUCUAGUUUUUCAUGUUGCCAACUGUAAUACUAAAUUUUUCUUUUAGAAACAGUUUGACCUCUUUUAAAUUGACAAAUAGUGUCCAACAUGGUUCAUUAGGAAAUCCUGCCGGUUGUUUUUUUUUUUUCUCUGUUUCCCGCUUCUUGCAUACGCUGCUUCUUUUGAUAUGUUAUUUAACUUCUUUGUUCAGGUUGUGAUUGCAGAUGAGUCACACUUUUGAAAAAAUGCUCAAGCAAAAAGAAACAAGUGCCUGCCUUUCCUGUCAUAAAGGUCUUUCUCUCUUGUGUACUGAAUCUACUGAUGACUAGCUUGCAACUGCCUAACUUUUUUUCUCAGUCCAUUCUUCUAAGCACCUGUCUCAGAGGGACCAUUUUGUAUAUAUGUAUUUUGAGUUGUACUAACAAUAAAUUUUUUGAUGCUUCCUACCUUAACUAGUGACACUGAUGUUUGUCAUUUCUUCCUCUAACUAUGCACUUGAUGGUAAAAGUAGUGAACUCAUGUCUGGUUCAGUGAAUGAAGUUGAUGAAAAAUAUUGGAAACAGUUUUCAACACUUAUAAUUGAAGUUUGCAGCAAGUCAUCAAGUAAACCGGGAUUAUUUAUUCUUAUUCUUGUAGAAGUAUACAGAAAGGAGUAAAAUCUAAGAAAAUUGCUUGAUGAAAGUUUUGAGACAUAUUGGGACCAUUUGUAUAUAUGUAUUUUGAGGUGUACUAACAAUAAGGUAUUUUUGUGAUGCUUCCUACCUUAACUAGUGACACUGAUGUUUGUCAUUUCUUCUCUAACUAUGCACUUGAUGGUAAAAGUAGUGAACUCAUGUCUGGUUCAGUGAAUGAAGUUGAUGAAAAUAUUGGAAACAGUUUCAACACUUAUAAUUGAAGUUUGCAGCAAGUCAUCAAGUAAACCGGGAUUAUUUAUUCUUAUUUCUUGUAGAAGUAUACAGAAAAGGAGUAAAAUCUAAGAAAAAUUGCUUGAUGAAAGUUUUGAGACAUAUUGAUCUCAAUCUCUCCUCUCUAACGUUUUCAACAAUUUCAGAGGGCUCAAUACGCAAUAUUGUUGAGUGGUACUCCUGCUUUGUCCCGACCGAUUGAACUAUUUAAGCAGGUAUUUCUAAACUCUAGUUAAGAAGCUGCAACUACAAGUUAUCUUUAUCUAGAAUCUAAUCAUUUGUUUAUUAAUUUCUUUGAAUUUAAACAGCUUGAAGCCUUGUAUCCUGAUGUAUACAAAAGUGUUCACGAAUAUGGUAAUCGAUAUUGCAAGGGGAGUAAGUCACUAUUUCUUUAUUUUGAAGAUGGUUCUGUCACGUUAUAAGCAAUUCUGUUCCUUACUCGUUUGGAAUUUCAGGAACGUUUGGAUUGUAUCAAGGUGCAUGUAACCAUGAAGAAUUGCAUAAUUUGAUGAAGGCAACAGUGAUGAUUCGCAGACUAAAAAAUGAUGUUCUUUCUGAGCUUCCUGUGAAGCGUAGGCAACAGGUCCAUGCUUUGUCCAAUCUGUGUUUUGACCUGUGGGAUGGCCUUAGUAGUCCUGUUACAAUCGGUGAUCUUUAUCUUUCUUUCAUUCCAUCCCUGCCCGAUCUCAGGUCUUUUUGGAUUUGGCUGAAAAGGACAUGAAACAAAUCAAUGCUUUAUUCCGGGAGGUAAUCUAAGUCUUUUUAAUGAAGUUGAUAAGUUGAGAAUAAGUAGCUAUUGCCCUUGGAGUUCCAACUAGCUGAAGUCUAGUCAUGUGCUGUUUUGCUGUUAUCUUAUAUGAACCCUUUUAAUUUCCUUUUUCCCUAUCUUUAAUUAGUUGUAUGAUUUCUUGGCUGUGGCACCGUGUGCAAAAACAUAUUAUUAAUGUGCCGUGUAAAGUUUACUUUGUUCUCAAGCGUAAGGAAAAUUAUAAUAGAGCAUAGCUGCUGUUUAUCUCCUUUUUGUAGUUGGAAGUGGUAAAAGGGAAAAUUAAGGCCUGCCAAUCCAAAGAAGAGGUUGAUUCACUUAAGUUUACUGAGAGAAUCUUAUUAAUAAAGGUAUUCAUGCAUUACGCACGCAAUGUAGUGCACAUGGGCCCAACGUAGUUCCUUUCUUAUACUGAAGAUGCUGAAAUGGUCACACCAUUUCCUCUUGUAGUUUUUCUUUUACAAUUGAGUAGCUAACUUUGAACCCUUUAACCACCUCAUUUGUGCUCCAGAUUUAUACUGAUUCUGCUGAGGCUAAGAUCCCUGCAGUUUUGGAUUACCUGGGAACUGUCAUUGAGGUACCUCACCCUAUGUUAUAUCCUUCUCUCUGUCUUUUAGUUCUAUUUCUCUAAGGUGAUUUUGUUUCCUUAUCAUUAGUUUAGUCUGCACGUUUUCCUUUUCAGAGUUUAAAAUGUUGUUAUACAAUGGUUCUUGCAGGCAGGCUGCAAGUUUCUAGUAUUUGCACACCAUCAGUCCAUGAUUGAUUCGAUAUAUCAGUUUCUUCUGGUAAGGCCACAUGAAUUCAUAAUUUCCUCUAAGAUUGACCAAUUUUCUUAUAAGAACUGCCAAUUUCCAGAAAAAGAAAGUGGGUUGCAUUCGAAUUGAUGGAAGUAUCCCUACUGUUGCGAGGCAAGCUUAUGUUACAGAAUUUCAAGAAAAAGAUUCUAUCAAGGCAGCAGUGGUAUGGCAGUAUGCUUCUUUUAUAUACUUUGUUUUCUGUGUAACCAACCUAAUUGAGUUCUGUGUAAUUGGAAUUGUCAAAAAAACGAAAAACUGAAAAUUUUGAGUGCUACAUCUCAGGUGUUGUUCUGUGAUUUAAGUCUAAUAUUCAACCUUUGAAUGUCAUCGUGCAGCUAUCUAUUAAAGCUGGAGGCGUUGGAUUAACUUUGACAGCUGCAAGCACUGUUAUUUUUGCAGAAUUGUCAUGGACUCCUGGCGACCUAAUUCAAGCUGAAGAUCGUGCUCAUAGAAUAGGCCAGGUAAAAGUUCAUGAUUCUGAAGCAUUCUUUGCAUUAAUUAUAAGCUACUCUAAUAUUUGUUUAUACACAACCAGCAAAAAUUGAUGCAUUCCUUCAUUCCUUGAUAUGUUUCUAACUUUCUGUUCAUGUUUUUAGGUGGCUUCGGUCAAUAUAUAUUACCUUCUGGCAAACGAUACAGUUGAUGACAUCAUAUGGUAUGAUUUUACGCAGUUGUCUACUUUCUAAUUAGUUUGAUGAUUUUUGUACUUCCAACACUUUCUCUCUAUCUUUAGGGAUGUUGUUCAGAGCAAGUUGGAAAAUCUGGGACAGGUAAAGUUCAAUCCCCUUAGCAUUCCUUCUUAGGGGAAAAAGGGGGAAAAAAAACCUUUUUUGUUUUAACAGUAGAAUGAACUCUGGUUUUUGGACAAUCAGAUGCUCGAUGGCCAGGAGAAUACUAUGGAAGUUGCAGCCAGCCAGACCCGAAUCACCCCUGCAAGCCAGCCGCGAAGCAGCCCUGCAAAGCAAAAACUUGCAUUCAGCCAACCGGGAAGCAGUCCAUCAAAGCAGAAAACACUCGACUCUUACAUGAAGCGUUGCAACAGCAGGGAAGACCCCAAAAGUCAGCCUAAGUUCAAAACCCAAAGGCCCUGAAUGAAGGCUAUGCUGUACAAAAUGUUAAUUUUGCCUGUUUGAAAUGCGUUGAAAGCACAAUAUCGAAGCCAAACUAGUAAUGUGAAGGGUUCUCUUCCCGUUCGAGGUUCAUCCUUUAACUCACCUGUGUAAGAUGUCUGGAAAGAGGUUUUGCCAAGUUGUCUGCAACUGCAACAAAGAGCGUUGAAGAAUUAUAUCGAAAGUUCCGACUGGGAUUUUCCUAUGUUCACUUAUUGUUUGCACGCGCUACUAUAUAUUGAAGAUCCUAACUGGUUCUGGGCUUGUUUCGGUUAAUGUAAUGUGUAGGAGUAGUUCUGUUUACACCCAAUGCAUACAAGCUUGUUUCUGCAUGUUUACAAUCCAGAUUUGCACGUUUUGGUAGCAUAACUUGUUUCGGCCAUCGAGACCAAUUGGAUCCUUAUUUUGUUAGGCCAUUGGCGUCGCCUUAAGCCUCGAUUCAUCCGGUACAUGGUACACACCGUAGCAAACUAGUAUUUUUAACGAAAGGAACUCAAAGAAAAUUGAAGCAUGUGCACACAAGGGAAGAGGAUACCGUGAAUGGUGGUUUUUUCAGAAAAGAAAGUAUUCAGCACUUGCUCAGUUUAACAAUGGCUACAACCGAGUGUCUAAAACAAACACCGUUGUUCGAAAAAGAAAAAGACGAGAAAAUAACGUUCGCAUACUAAUUGUAUACUGCAAGUGUUGUAUUAACUACAGACCGUACGCCAUGGAAUAAACAAUUUUUGAGUGAUUUUAAAAAUUCAUCCCUCAAGGCAGAUAGGGAUAUAAAAUUAAACAGCGUAAUUUGAAGAGUUGUCUAGUAACUCCUGCCCCAGUAGGUU
rnacentral:lncRNA from 1 species